GGCAACGUUGUUGUGUGGAUUCUAGUGCCGAUCCUAGGAGCACUCCUCAUUCUCUCUAUAUGCGCCGGGACAUUUGCCUACUAUCUACGCAAACGAAAACAAAUCAAUGGAAACAACAACUUGGAUGCUGAAACUGGAGAGAACUUGUCCAUCUUUAGCUAUGAUGGCAAAGUCAAAUACCAAGAGAUCAUAAACUCAACCAAAGAAUUCGAUCCAAAAUACCUAAUCGGAACCGGAGGAUACGGCAAAGUAUACAAAGCAAACCUCCCAGGCGCAACCGUAGCAGUGAAAAAGCUACACCAAACAAUGAACGAAGAGAUAUCAAAGCCAGUGGUGAAGCAAGAGUUCCUAAACGAAGUAAGAGCCUUAACAGAGAUCCGUCACCGCAACGUGGUGAAGCUCUUCGGCUUCUGCUCUCACCGCCGCCACACUUUCCUGAUCUACGAGUACAUGGAAAAAGGAAGUUUAAACAAACUGUUAGCUGAUGACAAAGAAGCGAAACGACUCAAUUGGACCAAAAGGAUCAAUAUAGUGAAAGGUGUGGCGUACGCGUUAUCGUAUAUGCACCAUGACAGAUCAACUCCGAUCGUCCACCGUGAUAUUAGCAGCGGCAACAUCCUUCUCGAUAACGAUUACAAAGCUAAGAUCUCCGAUUUCGGUACAGCGAAGCUUCUCAAGAUGGAUUCCUCAAAUUGGUCCGCCGUCGCCGGAACCUAUGGCUAUGUCGCUCCAGGUAUAUCUAAAUCAAUGAAAUUGAAAUCUUUAAAAUCGAUUUCGAGCUUAUGAAAUUGAAAAUUUCUGAACAGAAUUGGCUUACGCGAUGAAGGUGACGGAGAAAUGCGAUGUGUAUAGCUUCGGAGUAUUGACGCUGGAAGUGAUAAAGGGGAAACAUCCGGGAGAUUUGGUUUCGGCUUUGUCAUCGUCGUCUCCGGGAGAAACUCCGUCGCUGAGAAGCAUUUCCGAUGAGCGUUUAGGAGAACCAGAGGCGAAGAUUAGAGAGAAGUUAGUGAAGAUGGUGGAAAUGGCGUUGUCGUGCUUACAAGCAGAUCCAAUGUCUCGGCCAACAAUGUUGUCAAUUUCAACGGCAUUCACCUAAAAACUUAUAAUAUAAGGUUUUUACAAUUAAAAUAAAACACAAAGUUAAACACAUGAUAAAUUAUGUGAUUAAUAAAUAUUAAUAUAGUUAUGCUAUUUUAGCCAAACGUUUGAGUUUUACUAGAGUUAUAAUUAUGGCUGCGUAAUGUGAAUAUACUAAAUCUUGUAGUUGUUUUGCUUUGGCUGAAUAAUAUUUUGUUUAAAAUUAUGUUAUAAAUAAUUAUUACUAUAGUUUAUAACAUGUAGUCAUCUCUUAAAUAUUUUUUAAUAUCAAUUUGAUUAUUUGUUUUUGUGAAAGAUGGAAGUAUGUGUAAUGUGUUCAUCAAUGCAAUUUCGAUUUGUAUUCGAAAGUUUUAAACUUUUAACUGUUUUGGAGAAAUAGACCUUUUUUUAGUCUGUUUUAUUAUAUACUAGUCAGUUUUCUGCGUUACGCGUGUGAGGUCUAUUAUAUUGUUUAUGAGUAAUUGGUUCAUAUUUUAUUUUUUAUUUAUUUUUCACUUUAACAUAUUUUUUUUUAAUCUUAGAUUGUGAUUGUAUAGAAAACAUGUUGAGUUUUAGCUUCAUUAGUAGUUGACAAAUUAAAUGUGUAUAAUAUUUAAUAAAAUGAACUAAAUAAAGAAAUAUAUGUGGUUUAAACAGAAGUAUGGUGGAGAAUCAUAAAGAAACAUGUGUUAUUAGGGUUCCUACCAAAUACUUAUUUACAUAUGUCUAAAUCUAAAAUUAAAUGAUAAAAUUAUAUAAAUAAUUUUUAAAAUUAAAUAAUAAAAUGAGGUGGAUGAUGAUUAGGAUGAUGAGGUGGCUUAAGGAGGAGAGAGCAAAGUUAACUUUAUAUAUAGAUAUAUUCGUUUCUGAUUUUUUGUUUAAUAUAUUUUCUGUAUUUUCAUAUGGAACAAUUUUAAAAUUUAACAUAGUAGUAUAAUUUACUUUAUAUUUAGUUCAUUUCAUUUAAUUAUGUUUUUUUACUUUUUAAUUUUUAUGAAAUAUUGUUAAUUUUUUAUUUUGUUUAUUAGUUUACCAUAUAUGAUGUAUUGAAAACAAUUAGUUGAAUUCAUAUUGGAAACCUUUUAAAGAAAUAUUAUUUUUAUUGUUACCAUUUUUAUACGUGUUUUUAAAAUGAGAAUUCAUGUUUUGUCCCAACCUAUCUCUUUUAUGUUGGAGAAUUUUGAAUUUUUUGAGACAUAAAUUACACAAAUCAUAAUAUUAUUUUUAAUGAAUAUAUAUAUAUUCAUUAUUUUUUGUUUUAUUCCCGUUAAAUCCCAUUAUAAUUUAGGUUUAUAUUGUGUAAAUAUAAUCAAAUUUUGUGUCAUAUUAUUUUUAAUUGAUAUAUAUAUAUAUAUAUUCAUUCUAAAAUAUUUACUUAAAAACUAUAAGCUAUUAUUUAUAUAUUAGUUCGUAUUAUCAAUAAUUAGUAAGUUUUUUAAUCAAUUAUUAUUUUUAGUUUUAUAAUAUAAAAUAUAAGAAAAGACCUUUCAUAUUUCUUUUAGAAAACUUAUUUACAUAUGUCUAAAUCUUAAAACUAAAUGAUAAAAUGAUAUAAUUAAUUUUUAAAAUUAAAUAAUAAAAUGAGGUGGAUGAUGAUUAGGAUGAUGAGGUGGCUUAAGGAGAAGAGAGCAAAGUUAACUUUAUAUAUAUAGACUAGCAGUUGACCCGCGCUGCGCGCGGAAGGUUUAUAUAUAUUUUUGUGAUAUUUUAUUUAUUUUAACUGAUUUUCAAAACAUAUUAUAGUUAUUUUCUCUUGAAUUAUUAUCUUUCAAUAUUUAAAUUUGGAUUAAAAUCAUUUUCUUUUUCAUCAAGUUAUAAAUUAAUAUUUCGCUUUCAAUUUUAUUUUUCCCCUUUAAGAUUUUAUAUGUACAAUUACAUAAAUGUUGUUUUUAUUCUACCAUAAAUUGAAAAUUUACUUACAUUCUUAAAGUCAGUAACACAUUUAAAAUUUUAAACUAUGAUCAAUUUAAAAUGAAAGUUGAAUUAUAUUAUUACCACUAACUAAUAUAAAAUGAAAGUAUUUCUUAUUUAACAUUUCAUUUAUUUACAUAAUUUAUUUUUAUUUAUAUAAAUUUUCUAUUAAUUAAAUAAGUAGCAUAAAUAUGCACUAAAUGAAUGUUUUAAAUUUAUUUUAAUGUAGAAAAAAUGUGGUUUAUGUGGAUGCUUAGGUGGCAUCAUGAGAAGAGAGAAAAAGCUAACUUUAUAUAUAUAUAUUACUGCACAAUGAAUAUUAUAAUCAACCGAAUGUUCUAACGUAUAUAAGAGCAUGAUUAAUGGUAGGCUUUUAGCCUUAAGGUUUUGUUAAGAAAAACUUUUAACCAACUUCGUAAACCUCAACCUCUAUAACAAUUUUUUUUUGGGUCCACUUCCUUCUCAGAUUGGAAACUUACCCAACCUUGUUAAGGUAGGCCUUAGUACAAACAUUUUGUAAAUUUCACCCACUUCCAUUGGAAAUUUCACCAACUUGGUAAAACUUAAUCUCUAUAUCAGUUCUUCCUCGGGUCCACUUCUUUCUGAGUUUGGAAACUUAGUUGAGCUGGAUUUGUCUAGCAACAACCUCACAUGUGAACUUCCAUAAGAAAUUGAAAAUCUCGCAGGUUAUUCGAAGCUACUACUAAAUGGGAAUCCACUAUCAGGAAGAGUUCCUACAUUUCUAAGUUUCUUAACCAAUCUCGAGGUUCUUGAUUUAUCCUUAAACAAUUUCAGCUCCCAGAUCCCGCAAACUUUUGACUCCUUUUUAAAGCUUCAUGACAUGAACCUAAGCAGAAACAAAUUCGGCGAAUGUUUUCCCCGCCUCACAAAGCUGACUCAAUGAAAUAAUCAAGAUCUCAGCCACAACCAGCUCGAUGGAAAAAUCCCAUCAGGGCUCAGCCUCUUGCAAAGCCUUGAUAAGCUUGACCUCUCACAUAACAAUCUUUCGGUUCUCUUUCCAACAAGUUUUGAGGGCUUAAAAGCGCUCAUACAUCGAGAUAUUAAACAAUAAACUCGAGGGUUCACUUCCAGAUAAUGCAGAGUUUCGAAAUGCAACAUCAGAUUCAUUGUAGGGAAACUAAAGCUUAUGCAGUAAUAUUGCUAGACAAAAGUUAAUAUUAGACUAUAACCAGUGCUAUAACACAGUUUGAAUUAUAUUUAGUAUAAAAAUGGAUAUAUUAUAUAUUUUAAAAUAAAGUUUUGAUAGAUGAUUAUAGUAAGUGAAACAUUUCAAUCCGAUACGUAGUAAGAAUUUUUGUUGAACGUAUUUUUGUUGAAAAGAAAUAUAUUAUUUAAGUCUAAAUUUUUGACCAGUUUCAAGAUUUCUUUUCAUUUUUCUCAUAGAUUAAAUAGUUUAUAUCCGUUUUAAAAAAUUCAACUCAUGGCAUAGGUGGAAAAUAUAAUUAUAUAUAUAUAUAUAUAUAUAUAUAUAUGAUAAUUUAUUUCUUUCAUAAAUAUGGAACCAUUGAGAAAUGAAGUAUAAUGAUUGUAACGCAUGUGUCCAAAUUCUGGUCGUAAUGAAGUUUUGUAGGGUGUCGAUUCACAUCAAGUGUGGGUAUCGGUCGUCACCAAGGUAGAAGUGGUGUUGUCUGGUGGUUGUGUCUACUGACACCAGUUUUCUGUGAGCAUUGAUUUGUGUUUUUGAUUGCAUGGUUUGGUUGUUUGGUAUUCGUUUGUGUGUGAUUGUGAUCUUAACGCUUGUGUCCAUAGCCCAGUAGAUGGGAUAAUCGCUUCAUUGAGUAUUUUUGAUAAUACUCACGCAUCUCAUUGUGUUUGUGGUGUAGGUAAAGUGUGGCAUGGAAUCAUGGCAAUAAAAACCAGAUUUUUUCAUUUUUGCUGAGAUCCCUUUAUUUCAAUGUGUACUGCUUUUGCUACACUUAGAUCACAAAUUCUAACUUAAUAGUUGAAUCAAAAAAUGAAUAUGCCAUUCAUAGCAAAAUUUUGAAUUAGUACAAUUACAGUAGUUCGAUGAGUAAUAUAUAUAUAUAUAUGAAAUAUUAGCACUCUCACACCGUUUCCAUCUUUGUUAUUACAUUUUAGCACCGUUUGAGACUAUGGCACCGUUUUUGACUGUGAAUAGACAAAACACUCCCUAACUUAAACAUUUAACUAAACAACUUCUCUCACAAUAUUGUUUCACACACCAAAUUUUGUUUCCUUUACUAUAUAUUUUAAACUUUAAUAAUAAUAAACAGAACAAUAUCUUCUCAUCUAUCGACUGUAAACAAAAAGAGAUUGAAAAUAAUACCUAAAUCCCCAGUUUAUCUUCUACAUCUACCAUGUUUCUUCUCGAAGAACUAUUCUCAACUACCAUGUUUCUUCUCGAAUUUCAGAUAUGGUUGCCAGAGAUCUUGAAGGAAAAUAAUUGCCCAGAAACUCUCGUUGUCUCUAACCUGCUCUACCCAGAUUUGUUUUUCAAUGGAUCUGCAAAUUAUUUAAGGUUUACUCCACUAUUCCUUUGCUUCCUCGAGUUACGUUCUUACCACUACAACCCCCAAUAGAUUCUUCCAUUACAAAGAAUCCGUCUGCUUUUCUUCAUUGUCGUAGGGUUUUGAGUGAAGACGAAACACCUUUCUAGAGUCGUCAGAAUCGUCCCUCCUUUCUAGAGUCGUCAGAAGCAUUUCUAAGUGUUGUUUUGUGCACAAACCUUAGCAAACGUAGAUUUUGUGGACAUAUAAUCGUGGACUUCAUUUUUGUGGAUGGCACUUCUUGGAUAAAACGAGUUCCAGAGGUCAAAUCUCACAUUUUUGUUGAUUUUGGAAUUUUUCUUGGAUGGCAUGUAGUUAGAAAUGCUUGUGCCGUGUCAUACUUUUGCUUUGAUCAAUCAUACAUGUGCAUCUACUAAAAGGGAACUUUUUGGUUUGCUUGAAGAAGAAAGCACGUUCGUGUCCAAAAUGUACGUCACGUUACUUAACGCUGCUUUUAUUCAACGUGAGAUGUUGAUUUCCACGAAAUAAUGACCAUAUGUUCAGUUUAUUUGUAGCAUCAACAAUCAUGCUUUUGUAUACCAAUUAUCAUCUUUAAUGUUAACCAUUUGUGUCUUUCUUCUCUGUAAUGUUCACAUUCCAAAAUAUUAUCUUGCAAAGGUAUUAUUCCAUCUUUUGCACCAUCUCAAAAUCUUCAUAAGAUAAGAUGUAAAAAAAAUUGAAUAUCCAUAGGAAAUCUUACAAAGUUAUUAUUUCAAUGAAUCUUCUUGACACUCAUUAUCUUUUUCUUCCUGAAUUUUCUAACAAUAACAUAAAAAACAGAUUCAAAAUGAUAUCAUAAUCAAACCAACAAUAAACGUAACCAUCAUACCACAUUCGUAACCAUCAAACCGCUGCCAUCAAAUCACAUCACAACCACAACAUUUCCAGCCACCACAUCAUAUCCACCGUAUCGCAUCCACCACAUUUCAUCACAUUCACCGAAACGGAACUCUACCAUUGAACUUCAAUUCUGUGGACAGCGAUUCAUGGAUUUCAUCUCCGUGGACAGAGAGUUUCUUGGACGUUUCUUUCUUAAAUUUAGUGGCCAGUUGGAAAACAAUGAUAAUGAGAAUCUCCGGAAACUAAAGAUGCAAAAAAAUUAUUUGACCAAGAAAUAGCAAAAUUUUAAAAGAUGUUAAAAUGAUACGUCGGAGGUUAAGGUACACAACCAUUUGAUAAGAAGAUUGGGUCGAACACACAAUUCCAGAAAACAUGAAAACUGAAUCUUGCUGGAGAAAUCCAAAAAAAAAACGAACGAGCACAAAAACGAAUAUUCAAAAAAAGGAACACUUAAUCAAUUCAAUGUUUAGCAACAUACAUAAAAAACGGAUUGACUCACCUUAGAUGAGAAGAGCUUCUAGGUCCCAUUUCCUGUAAAUUGUAAAAAACCGUAAAGAUAAAAAAACAAUGAAUUAUGAGUAAAACUUCACAAUUUUUAACAAAAAUAGCAAAUAUAAUUCACAUGAAUCAGUGCAAAAAACCUCAAUUUCACGUUGAGUAUAAACACCCACAGAGACAAAAAGAAAAAAAAAAGAAAAAAAAAUUGCCGUCGAGAGUAGGAAGAAGAAGACGAGAGAGGUGAGUUUUUAUUAUAAGCCGCUUUCGCUAGCAAUUGAUGGCUAAGAUGAAAUUAUAUCCAACUUGAGCAUUUUUUGGUUUGUUUCACUCAUCUUUUAAGUUGGAGGACAUAAUUGUCCAAAUCUGGCGUCUACAGUGUAAAAGUAAGUGAAAACGGUCCAUAAACACAAGAGGGUGUUAACGCGAGAACUAAGACACAUAAACGGUGUCUCUCUAUAUAUAUAUUACUAGAUUUUAACCUGCGGUACACCGCAUGAAGAUAUUUUAUAAUGUCUUUCUUUUUUUAUUAAUUUUGUAUGGUAUAUAAGAUUGUACUACAUGCUGGAAAAAAAAUUGUACAACUGUAUUUUAAUGUUAAUUCUAUGAUUUAACCCGUGUAAUAUUGCAUGACAAUUUGUUUUUUAUAUAAUGUUAAUUUGAUCAACUUAACUAAAUAAGUCUAAUAUUCAAAAUAAUGAAAUAAUGUUGGCAUAACAUAAUUCGUUUAAAUAGCCUAAUUUCAGAUUAAAAUAUUUUGUGAGUUUUACUAUAGUAGACAACCCGUAAAAAUAUCUAUAGUCAUAACUUUGUAAAUUAUAAACCGCUUCAUCACAUGACCCGUGCUACACAAUUAUCAAUAAUAUUUUAGUACAUACAUUUUUGUAUCGUUUGAGUAAUAUACGUCCGUUUUCAAAAAUUCAAAUUGCAACAUAUGCAAAAUAAAAAUUAUAUUUUUAUUAUACAUAUGUUGUAUGUAAUAAUAUAAAUUUGAAAACAAAUAAGAUCAUAUAAAGAUAUUGGAGAAAUAUUUGAUUUAUUAGGGAGAGAUUUUAGGAAAUUUUGUUAAAUGUAAUAAAUAAUGGUUUCUAGUUUUGCAAUUUUAUUAUGAUUUAAUUACAAAAUUUACCUUAAAUUUUUGUUAUUUAUUCAAUUGCCAUGAGUUUAAUUAUGAAAAUAUUACAAAAUAAAAAGUUAUAACCCAAAAGGUAUAUCAAAAAUGUUAAUAUAGAAAUAUAUAUAUAUAUAUAUACUAUUUUCUUUGAAUUUUGUUAAUUUUAGUGUGUUGCGUUGUAUAUAUACCUCUUUGAAUCAAAUGGCAACAAAGGUUAACUUGGUUAUGGGAUUAACAAUUGUGGUAGAUGUUGAGAGUUCAAAUUCUCUAGUGUAAAAAUUUAACUUUCUAAAAUUAAACGUCCUAAUUUAAAGUUAAAGGUAUUACUUGGCAUCAUAGUCAUAAUCCAGAUACAGCAUUGGAAAUUGAGACCAUUCCUUGUACAACCAUUGGCAGCCUACAAAGGUUGUAUCGUCUUUUUAUUUGCUUGAAGUCAUAGAGAGAUAGUGAAAGAAUACAUGUAGUGUUGCAACUCCACCCAAAAGAGGAAGAGGUCGACCAAGAAAAGGACAAGUCAGAUUUGUUCAUCCAUUGAUACUUUAAAAUCAUUUGAAUGCUUAUUGAUAUUUUGAUAUUUUGAUUGAAAUAAGGAGCCAAUGGUUAUAUUGUUUGGACAAGGAACACCAUUACAAGGAGAACCUUCUCAGGGAGCACGUCAACUGUCUCAUGAAGCACCUUUAAUAGUUUUGUUAAGACAUGUUCCAAACAAGUGAUGUCUAUUCAUUAUGAGUUCCAAAAGGUUUACAUCACAAACAUAGAAUUGUUUGCUUAAUAACCUAGCAUAAGUUUUUCCUGAUUUCCUUUCCUAAACAAUACAUAACCCAGCACAAUGGUGAUAACACAAAGCCACACAAAACAGACUUUGAAGCACAAUUUACACUUGUUGUGGAGUUCCUUUUUGCUGAUCAUUUCUUCUUCCUUCACUUCUUUCAUCAUAGCCUUCAACUCAUUCACUUCUCCUUUGAUUUUUCUAAUCUCAUUUGCAGGGAUGGCUACUCUUGGUAAAGCAUCAUCUACUUCUUCAAACACGGCAUCCUCGACCCACUUAAACAAACUCUAAUGAACAAAAAAAUGACAAAUAGUUAGCUAGCUUACACUGAUUUUUCUACCUAAAUAAUAAGUUUUCAUAUACUUACAUCUCUUUUGCUUGUCCACGAAUUCACAUCACGUUUGCUUGCACAACGAAAGAGGUCGUCCCGGAUUCUCUUCAGGUUUAGAUGUAAAGAUCGUGACACCUAAACCACAAACACACUUGCUAGGCACACCACGCUCACUAACGCCACUCGUUGUGACAGAGCUCGAACUUGAACUCAUCGGAACAGAUAGAUUGCAGAAGAAUUUUGGGGAUUUUCAGAUUUUGUGACCUAGAAAUCGAUUUGGGGAUUUUAAGUUUCAUCAAUGUGUAAAAAGACGUCGUUUUGUUAACAGAUAAACGGCAACGUUUGCAUUAAACGAAAGCAGGAGACGGAUUGUUAACCCCGUCUGUGCAGUUCUAACAGCGAGUUAACACCAUGGUUAAAACGGCUCAGUCAACAAAAGUUUGAUAAUUUAAGCAAAGUCAACAAAAAGUUUGUAAUUAUAAAGGUUUCCGAAAAAUUCAUGAUUAAACGUCCCAAAUUUGAAAGUUGAAAAUUAUUAUAACAUUUUCCCAUUGAAUAAUACCCCUAAACACCAUUAUCAUUCUACUCUGCACAAAAACAAAAACAAAAAGUUUCCUUCUUUGAAAACCAUUAACCAAUCCGAGUAUUUUCUCAUGGCCCGAGGAAUUUCAUGUGGAAGUUCUUGAUGAAAUGGAAAUCGAUCAUUGACCAUGACCACUUGAUUCAGUCUAAUUUUUAUCAUAUCUCAGUCAGUACACUCACACACACGUCAUUUUGACCAAUAGUCCCUAAAUAUCUUCCAAAGCAAAGAGUUGAAAUUUACUCAACGGAUUGUUCAACGUUUAACACCUAAGAAGGUUUCGUAAUUUCACAAAGUAAACAGCCAAAAUAAGAAAUUUGAACCCACUACUGGUUUAGGCUACUUAGAGCAUUUUUAAGGGUGUAUCUUUGAGGAUGUAUCUUAACCAUUAAUAGGUAUAUUAAUAAUGAAAAGUGUAAGUUAAGAAGAUUUGAUUUUGAGGUGAUUAUUGGUUAAACCUCUAGUAUCUUAGAGUUUUAAUAAUAUAAUAAUAUUUAUAUAUUGUUAAAUUUUUGAAAUUAAAUAAAUUAUUAAUAAACUGAAAACUUAAAAAAAUAAACAUAUAAACAUAUAUAGAAAAUACAAUUCAAAAUAAUUUAAGAAAAACAAUAAUGAUAAAAAUUAGAAACACAAAUAUAGAAAUAAUAAACAUUAAAAUGACAAACAGUAAUAGAUAGAAACAUAUUAAUUGAAGCACAAAACAUUAUAAGAAAUUAAUGCAAAGUUUAGAAAUCAAUCUUUCCAUCUAGGGUUCAUUUGAGAGAGAUUUUUCGAUUUGGGGCUUUUUUUUCUUUUUGACAAACCAAAAAAAAAAAUCGUUUGUUUACUUAUUUUUUUACCCAUUCAACUUCUGCCACGUUGCGUAAGAACUGAGUCGGAAAAGAUGUUGGAUAGCAUCCGGAUGCUCCUUCACAUUCUACUGUUUUCAAUAUCUGGGUUUUAAAUAUUACUCUAAGGGCCGAUCGGAUAUAGCCAUAAAGAUGGCCUUACCCGACGCCGACAUGUUAAAUUAAAAUUAGAGGAUAUAUAAAAAGUAGAAUUGAAAAUGAUUUGUAUAAAUUUUUUAAAUCCUAUCUUAUUCAGUAAUGAAUUUUAAAAGUCUAAUGAAAUUUAGUAAGGGAAAAUUACAUUUUAACUUUCAACGUGUUAGUCAGUAGCACUUUAAAUUUCGAGAACUAGCAUUAUAAAUAACCAAAAUGAUUUCUAACACUUUACACAUUAAAACUAGCUUGUAUGUUCGCACCGCAAUGAUGGAGUAAUAAUGUCCAUCAACAAAAUAUUUAAAUUAAUUUUUAGUUUGUUUUAUAUAUAAAAAGAUAAUAAAAGAGGUGGCAAAAGAAAUAAGAAAAAAUAAAAGAGAUUUCAUCUUCAUCGACUACUCACUGUCUGAUCAUGAAUCUUCUAGAUAUUAUUUAUGUUCGUUUCGUUGACGUAAUCGCUGCCGCUGCCGCUGAUAUUAUAUUCACUUUACUGAUUGUGAUCAGAAACCGAAGAAUCAUCCCCAUUUGAAUAGGGUAAAGGUGUGAUAUUCUUGAUAUAUAUAGGAGACUAUUUGGUUCCUAACGAAAAAUCAAUCAGUUUGAAUCGACCUAGUGGAUAUACAUAUCUAAAUAUUGUAUAUAUAUUUGUGGCAAAUAUGUGGUCGGACUUUGAGUAGUAGUAGAAAUUGUAAAUGAUAAAAUUAAUUGAAAUUUAAAUUAAACAAAUAGAAUUUAACUAUUUCUUUUUUACAGACAAUAAUGAUUUAAUAUUUUAUUCUUGAAAGUAAGUAUUUUAUUUUAAAAAAAUUGAAUGGUUUAGGAUAUUUGAUUAAAACAUUAAAUGGUUUCGGGUUAUGAUAUAUGAUUAUAACCUAUAGAGAUUGUCUCAUGGUAAAAAAAACAUGGAAACAUAAUUUCUAAUUUGAUUUUUGUCUACUCAACCAAAGAUUUGAAGCAAAAAUAUUUAGAAGAAUAAAGAAGAGAAUUUAGCAUAUUAGCACCGUUUAUGUCUUUCUAUUCACGGUCUAGCACCGUUUCAGCAAGUCACACCCUUUCUACUUACCAUUUGACUCUUAUGUCCUUCUAACUAAGACAUCCGAUCGAACUAAACAAACAUUUUAUUAAACGGUGAAAAAUAAAGAAACUGUCAUUUAAAUAAACUGUCAUUUAUUUGGAAAACAGAAAAUUUACCAUUAAUUACAGUUUCCAAACUUUUUCGUUCUUCUAAGGUGGAACCCUAGAGCCGCCGCAUCUUCUCCCAGUUCAAACCGGAAUCUUACCGGAAAACACUCAUUACCCCCAAGACAGCCGUUCUUCUCUAGCCGUCAUCUGAGGCCUAGGAGCUUUUCGUCGCAACCUGUCAUCGGAGCCCUAGGUACCCAUCUUGCGAACGACAUCUAUGGCCUCCAACCGCCGCAUCACUGGGUUCUUCAAACCGCAAUCGACGCAUCCGCCUACAGAUGCAGAUAACUCUGAGGAUCCCCCCCUCUGAAUGGGAUCCUCGUCUUCCUCACCGUAUAUUCGCCACCAACCGUUACCCCGACGCCCGGCUCAAUGUCUACUCAAAACCGGAUAUACUCACUGUAAUCUACAAGGUCCUAAAAGGCACCCAAGAGUUCGAUACUAUUCUUGAUUCCCCGCUGCGGUCGUUGUUUAAGUUAAGAGUCAGCGAGUGUAGUAUCUCGUGUAAAUUGGUCCACGCGCUGCUCUGCCGACAAUUGGUAUCCAAGCGGAAGUACGAGUUGUGGACUGUUUUCGGUGGACAACCGUUACGAUUUUCGUUGAUGGAGUUUGGCGCUGUCACAGGUUUGGAUUGCUCCGAGUUCCCCGAAGAUUAUGAUCCUGAUUACCAACAUUUCCCUGCCCCCGGAGAGCAAUGUUACUGGGAUAAUCUUAUUGGUGACGACCGGAAGGCAACUUUGGCUGAUGUUUCCAAAGUUUUCGAAGACCCCAAGGUUGAUGAUUUGCAAAAGAAACUUCGUCUUGCGUUGUUGCUUAUCGUGGAUGGUGUCCUUAUUGCUUCUAGCCAAACACACCGGCCUACAUUCAAGUUUGUGGAGAUGUUGGCUGAUGUUGACUCUUUUCUAACGUUCCCUUGGGGCCGUGAAUCCUUCUUGAAGACCAUUUCUGCUAUGAUGCCUGGUAAGAAGAUUCUAACCAAACCUGCUUCGAAAAAGCUCAGAGUUCAGGGGAAAUACUCUGACCCUCUCUCAACAUUCACUGAACAACUCCAGUAGAAGACAUUCCGCCUCAAUGGUUUCCCUCUAUCUCUCCAACUGCUCGCUUAUAGGAACAUUAGUGGCCUCCUUGAUAAGAUCCCCGGUUCCAAUGACCCUCGUACCUUUCUAGAAUGGGAUUCUGUUGGUAUUCCCAAGAAUAGCUUGCAGCUCACAGAUGUCCACCAAUUCGAGCGCUCACCUGAGGUAUGUUCCACCCUAAAAUUACCUACCAAGAUAACCCAUCCACGUGGAUAACACUCUUAUGACUAGUUUUUUUUGUUUUCCCAGUUAACUAUCUCUAACUAUAUUCAUGUCGACCCACCGGAGGAGGGUUGGGGAGAGUUCGACGAUGAAGUUAAAGACCGCAAGGUUUCUUACUUGAUGUCUCUAAUUGAAGAAAGACAUGUUUUCAAAAGUAGUGAGUGGCCUGGCGGUGAUUCUUCAUUGCCUCUAAUUGUCAUUCCAGAAAAACCACGUGAUGUUAUCCAUAGGCGGCACAUUGUCUCUCGGAGAAGGAAGACAUCACAAAGGUUUCGCUCCCGUCAGUCCACGACAUCCAAGCACAAAGAUAAGCCAGUUACCCCAAUGGAUAACCAAUCUAACAUCGAAGAUCCACUCCAAAAUGAUCUCAGAUAUUGGUUUGAGGCUCAACUCACGUCUAUCCGCUCCAGUUUUGAUGCAAGGCUGAAUAAGUUGGAGUCUAAGAACAAAAAAUUGAUUGGGAAAUUAAACUCUAUGCUUUCUCGUGGUAUAUGGAAACCACGCCAUCGCCGUCAGCUCCACAUUUUCAAGAAACGUUGUGUUAAUAAUAAGAAGGAAUCACAGCCUCCCCCCCCCCCAACAAAGAGGGAGUGUGUGAUAACGCACACAUGAGUGUUCCCAAAACUGUUAACUCUGAAUUACAUGAAACGACAUUAGACACUGGUAGUCCAGAAGAUAUUCUAGACGGUGGGCACGACUGGUCAAAAUACAGUACAAAUGUAUGUAUUUUCUUCCCACUACUUGUCUUUUUUAUUUUUUUUGUUAGGUUAAUCGUGUUUGUGAUUCUAGAGGUUAUGAUUCUCUUUUUUUUUUCAACAGGAUCCUCUCGACGAGUCUAUAAACUUAGCUGCAACACCCUCUAAGAGUCAUGUACACAUUACUGUAAGCAACCCCUGUCAAGUAUGCAUCUUUUGACUCCUGUCAAGAUCUUACCUUCAACAUCUUAUCUCACAUUUUCUACCAAUCAUUUCCCCUGCAUGUUUUCCACACACAGGGUGAUCAGGACGCCAAGUUUCUCUCGCAGUUGCCAGUCCAUGCAGAGGAUAUCCAGCAAGAGGAUGCCCAGGGAGCCAAGGCCCUACAAGUCUAUGCAGAGGAUAUCCAUUCCGUGAAUAUCCAGGAAGAUGAUGUACAGGCACACGCUAUCCAGGCACAAGAUGACCAUCAACAUGGUGACCAGGCAGAGGGUGACCAGGCAGCCAAACCCCUACCAGUCGAGGCAGAGGAUAUCCAUCCAGAGGAUAACCAUGCAGAGGAUUAUCAGGUAUGAGAGUCCCUAUUCCAGGUCUUACUCACCAUUUCCUCCUACUUUAAUUUUAUUGUCCAAAGGAAGCACAUCUCUCACAAUACUUCUUCAUUCAUCCCCAUUCCGGGGAUAUCCAGGAAGAUGAUGUCCAGGCACACGCUAUCCAGGCACAGGAUGACCAUCAACAGGGUGACCAGGCAGAGGGUGACCAGGCAGCCAAACCCCUACCAGUCGAGGCAGAGGAUAUCCAUCCAGAGGAUAACCAGGCAGAGGAUUAUCAGGUAUGAGAGUCCCUAUUCCAGGUCUUACUCACCAUUUCCUCCUACUUUAAUUUUAUGGUCCAAAGGAAGCACAUCUCUCACAAUACUUCUUCAUUCAUCCCCAUAUCCUCAGGAAACUCCCGCCGCAUAUAUGUCCCAACCCAUAUAUGACACUGCACCACGUUCCACAUUAUCUAACCCCUCCAUAUCUCCUCCUUCCAACCAGCACAAUGUCAUAUAUGACACAGCUCCCAAACAGAGGCUUGAAGAGUUAUAUGAGGUAUUUUUUCCCACAUCGCAGGGACGAUGGAUAAAAUCCGCCUAUUGACAAUACAACUUCUUUUUUUUUCUUCCAUUAUGUUAUCUUACCUACUGUUAUUUCCCCCCUUAGCCAUUACCAGAUGUAUAUAUUUUACCUCCUUCCUCGGCUGUUGUUGUUGAUGAUGAAGGGAAAGAGAUUCCAGUGAGCUCCAAAACCCUGUCCCCCUGUUUUAAAAUUGUAACUUCAUAAGUUAAUCACACUCACUCUUAAUUUAUAUGUGCAGUCCCCCCCACCAAUCAAAGAGGACGUGGUCGCGAUUGAUAAUGAUGUACCUGUCCACGAAACACCUGUUCAGGUAAAAAACAUUCGCCUGUUUAUCCAUAUGGAUUGCAUUUCGUGGACACUGCCAUCUAACCCAAUACUUUGUCAACCUAGUCCAAAGCAGACGCGACUAUUCCCCCGUCCUCAAUUGGCGUUGAUGAUGUGGAUGCCGAGUUGUCGGUCAGUUACUUAAAAAUCCCUCACUUUAUAUUUCCAUUUUUGGUUAUAUAUGUACAUAAUGAUUCACAUUACUGACUCAUGGAUCGUCAACAUAAAUCUUAGACAGCUCUUGUAUUGUAUAAAGGAAACACGCAAGACGCUGAAGUAACGCAAGACGCUGAUGUAGUAUUCGAUAGACUAUUUUAUUAAAUUUCCUUUUUCCAGGUUUGAAGGAAAUGUAAUCCCCUAUUUGUUUUGUUUUUUUCCAGCACAAUGAAGAUUCCCCACCCACUUAUGUUGAAGUCAGUGAUUCAUCUCCUGCUAGGGAGAGGAAACGGGCCAAUUUGUCUGAUGCCGAAUCUGCGCUUGUUGCGUCUUUAUUGCAGAGGCCACAAUACUCCCCAUCCAUGGGGCACGUCCUAUUACCUAGAUUGGAUUAUGCGCUUUUCGAGUACUUUAAGGAAACACUAGAAUCGUCCCCUUCCACGUACGUUUUUCCAGUUUUCUCAGAUAUGGCGUUCUUGACCAUUCAUGUUUUCUAACACGUAUGGCUUAUUUUUUUCAGGGCACAUCUCACUCGCUGCGAUUUCCUAAUUGAUAACAAAUUUAUCCUCAACUUAGCGACCCUUACCCAAUGGGUGUCCACUUUGGUAAUCCCUUAACCUUUUACUUUUGUUGUAUUCGGUUCAAUUCAACUUUCAUUAUAUGUUCAAACCUUUCACAUUGGUUACACGGCACAUGGAGGUCCUUGCAUCUUUCUUACAGCAAAGACAUUCCUAUGUCCUUGAGCACGAGAGGUCUGCAAUACUUCCUCCUUGGCUGGGCAACUAUCUCCAAGGAAAGCAUCGCAGUUUUCGGGCUGCCAAAAACAAGUUACGAGUGCGUUGGGACGCACAAUUUGAAAGAGCUAUCCCCGGCAAUCCUGGCGAGUGGUUCGAGCGUAUCGACAUGAUUUACAUGCCAAUGAUUUGGGAAGAUCGGCAUUGGGUUGGGUUGUCUAUCAGUCUACCCAACUGGUGUGUAUACAUAUUGGACCCCAAUUAUGAAUUAUACGAUAAACGCAAGGUCACCAAUUUCAUAGCUCCAAUUGUAGAAAUGCUGCCAUACAUAAUUAACAAAUUCUGCCAGCCACGCAUGUCCCAGCAAAACGGUUUGUCCAAGUUCAAGUGGCAGAGAUUUGAAGACAUCUAUGUGAACAGACGUUCAGGUGAUUGUGGUCCUGUGGCGAUGAAGUUGUUGGAACUUUACGCUAAUGACAACGGCCCAGAGGAGAUGGCAGAGAUUACCGACUCAAUUGUUGAUGAAUUCAGGGCACAAUACGCCAUGGAUAUAUACACUGAAUUAGUGGCUCCUAUUUAUGCAUCCCCCGCUUGUUAAUGUUGUAUCAAUCUUGUUCCACUUAUUAACAGUACCAUCUUUGUAAACAUUUCUUUAGACUAACAUCUUAUUUAUGCAUCGAUGCUUUAUCUUCUGGAUACUCUAUUAAUUGAAGUUCUUAUCGCUUCUUAAUAGUUUAUCUACUGAAGUUGUAUUUUCGGUCCAUGUUAUAGAAGACAAAUGGUUGGAUUAAGUACACUCUCAAUCAAAAUAAUUCCAAUCAAACAUAUCCACACGGAUACCGGUCAAAGUGCACUCUCAUAGUGGAUGGUUAUGUUAUCCCAUGUGUUUUCAUUGAUAUACAAAAUAAUUCCAUGUGUUUUCUUAAUGUGUUCCCAUGUGUUUUCUUAAUAGUUUAUCUACUGAAGUUGUAUUUUCGGUCCAUGUUAUAGAAGACAAAUGGUUGGAUUAAGUACACUCUCAAUCAAAAUAAUUCCAAUCAAACAUAUCCACACGGAUACCGGAUCAAGUGCACUCUCAUAGUGGAUGGUUAUGUUAUCCCAUGUGUUUUCAUUGGUAUACAUGGUUUUCAUUUUCAUUAUAAAUUUGGAACAUAUCCAAUAUAAUCAUAUCCACACUGAUUCCUGAUUGAGUCCACUCACACAUAAUUUUGUGAGAAACCUAUCUUCUUAAACAAAUCCACACGGAUACCAGUUUAAGUCCAAAGUCCAACUACAUGUUGCUUUAUGUCUUUCCAUAUAAAGGGGAACGCACUCCCUCAGAACUUAUGACCUAUAGCUUCUUGAUUCUUUAGCUAAACGUAAUGGAGGCCAACCUGGUUCGCGAUGUUAGUGUUAUAUAUUCGUAAUUCCAUCUAUAAAAUUUUUAGAUUGUGCCUCACCCUUUCUCUUUCGCAGGUCCACUCCGAUCGAACUAUCCACUUCCCAGCUCCCAUACUAGCAAAGAUCGUCAGCUACGUUUCUAUCGGUGGGGUCGAUUCUCUGAGGAAUUGGAUACACGCUGGCCCAGCAGGCAAAGACGCUGCGUUGUCCCCUGAGUGUCUCUCUGUUGUCCGUCUGGACCAAUCUCCUCACAUUCUAUGGUGGUCUAUGCCACAUUCCAAGUUCUACCUGUUCUUCUGCAAGUGUUUACAGCACAGCAAUCCAUACGCUGUGUACGAUGUUCUUAACAAAGGGGUAGUUUUUGAGAAUUUGACCAGAGAUUUCUACAGAAAUGGUAAAUGGUUAACGUUGUACGGACCUAUCACCAGACUUGGAGCUGUUGAAGAAGACGAGUUUGGAGGUUACGUCUACCACCCACCGAGACUUGGGAGACGUGUUGUCCGGCGGAUCUGCAACCGCUGCAACAAAUCAUGUGCCAACACGUGCCCACGUCCCAACGUUUGAGUUUAGAUGUGUCUAUCCACCUACAAAUAAUAAUAAAGUAAUCUUUUUUGGUAUGGUGGAUACCAAUGUUUUGACAUUGGGUUUUAUUUAUGUACUGUCCCAUCCCGCUGUUUUGGGAUGUUCUCUGUUAGUAAGCAAACGUCGUAUUGCCCAGCGAAUUUUCCUGAGGUACUUUUCUGUACCGUCCUUAUUAACUGUUGAGUUUUUGUGUUUGCAAACCUUUGUUGUGUAAUCAACAUACUACUUUACCCACAGCUCCACGUAUACCACACUAGUUUCACGUACCAUCCUUUCAACCUGACAUUCCUCCAAUUUUAAACUGUAUAUUCUACUCCAUUAAUAAAUGGUGGGGACUCUAAUUUGUGAGGGGCUUUUGUCCAAUAUUAGCUAAUUCAGUAAUGAUGGUACUUAAUUCUUCUACCUGCCAUCUUUCCCGCUUUGUUGUUAGGUUAAAGGGAUGCCUAGGUUAAAUGUCAUUUUAUAAACAGUUUGACCAGAGCUUAUGAACCUAACAACAUAUACAAUCCUUAACAUAAACGCAGCUAACACCCAUCUGUUCCUCUUCAAUGGAUCAACGUCAACCCGAAGGCACUUCUUUGGAGGUACAUUAUGUCCACACAGACUUAUCCUCUUUUGUUUUUGUUUUAUUGUUUUAAUUUCCCUAUCCUCGCACGUCUGUCCAUCGAGUCAUAUCCACAUCCCCGCUCCCCUGCUAGCGAAGAUUGUAUCCAUUGUGGCUGAAGACGGUGUUGACUCACUCAAGAGCUGGAUCAAAGCAGGUCCACUGGGUAAGGAAGCUGUCUUCUCUUCCGAAACACUUUCCACUGUUCGUCUUGACAAAUCUCCCGAUUUGCUUUGGUGGUCCAUGCCACACUCCAAAUAUCACAGCUUCUACUACAAAUGUUUAGCUGAGAACAACCCUUACGCGAAUUGGGCUGACCUCAACAAAGCUUUUUCGUUUGAAACUUUAAUAGAGCAGUACUACAGAACUGGAAGAUGGGCACCUGCGUUACCUGACCACCACCCGGCGGAGAACUUCUUACUACCACCUACGAUGCAGUUGAGAGUCGGAAGACCUCGCUGCCCACGUUGCAGGAGACCAUCCCAUCACCCUUCCACAUGUCGCCAUGGUUAGACUGUGUAGUUAACUAUCAGCUGGAUGCCCCCAUAUAUUUCCAUGCUUCCAUGUGUCUCCAUUUAAUCGGCUCGAUGUUUUAUCCCAUUUCUUUUUUUUUUUCAUUCUACCUCCAUGUGUUCUAUCUUCAUUUUCUCUCUAUUGUUAUUUUACCGUGGAUUUGAGAUAUCUAUAAUUUAUGUUUUUCUGUGAUUUUCAGUCCAUGUUUUGGAAUCUCUUUCCUUCCGGUGACUCUAUCUAUAUUUUCAAUCCAUCUUUCUGUUCUAUCUUCGAUACCAGUUCAAGUACAUUCAGACAUAUCCACAUGGAUAGCCUCUAAAUAACCCAAUCUCCACACAAAAAUUUCCACAUGUAAUCCAUUCAUUUUUUUGUUGAAUACCUAUAAAAGUCUGAAUAUCCACCUGGAUAUAGUCUCCUAACCGACUAAAAAUGUAAUCCAAUGCUGGUUUUGUAAUUUUCCCAACUAUAUGUGAUUUUUAGCUGGUUUGUGGACGGACAACCUUCUUACUGGUUUGUGGUUGCAUACUAUAUCCACACAUACAUAUCCACAGGGAUUCGAUCAGAUUCACACAUACGACUUCUAUAUCUCACAUGUUUGUUUAGGACAUCUGUUUUAUACGCCAACGUUGGUGUUCAUGAAACACAAUCUUGCAGGGACUAAGGAAAACACAAUCUUGCAGGGACUAAGGAAAACAAUACAUUAUGAAAACAAACACCCAUAGAUAACGCAUACACUUUUACGAAACCAACAUGAUAUCCCUUGCCAAAUAGAAGAGAAUGCAGUCCAUACACCUCUCACCGUUACACUCCCCAAGCAUAUCAUGCUCCUCCCAACAGUGUGGGAAAUCAUCAACAUGCCACGUUUCGGAAUAUGUACCCCACCGUCGAGGUCCAACCAUGUAAAUGUGGUACAUCAACGAGUUCGCCAUUCGUGAUAGCGCUUCAAAACUAUAUUUCUUCUUAAGCGCGUAGUAGUCAUCACUCUUAAGUGUCCCCGCACAGCUUAGCAACAUGUGAUACGCCAGAUUAGCCACACCGUAUACAUCCUUGACACGUUCCAAUGUUACGAGUGACUCGUUUAGAUCACAAGUCCUAAAUCCUAGCAGCAGGCCUUUCACAUACAGCGCGUACGGAUUCCCAGCAUUUAGACACCACCCGAAGAAAUCGAAUAAUCUGCUGCUCGGUCGCCACCAUCGAACAAAAUCGUAACUCCGAUCUAACCGGACAGGAAACAACGUCUCUUGCGAGAGUACAGCGAUCUUCCCCUCCUUCCCAGUCCGGAUCCAGCUUGCGAGUUCUUCUAUCCCCUCUUCUGCCACAUAGCUAACGAUCUUCGCUAGUAUUGGAGCUGGGAUGUGGACAUUAGGAACAAUACCUUCCUGCAUCCCACACAUGACAAUCAGACGUUACAUUAAUACACAUAACAAUAAUACUCGUCAAAAAUUGGAUUUUUUUUGUGGAUAGACAAUUACAAUUACCUUCCCUGCAACCGCCGCACCACUACUCUCGCCAACCGUUACAGGACGUUCUCGGCGAACAAGAGAACUGCGUCCGUAGAAAUGUCUUGACGCAGUUAUCCUAUGUGGAUCUGCCAUCUCACCCUCGUCACUCUCAUAUCCGUGAUCUGGUUCCAUUUCAAUACGGUAGUAGUUUUUCUCUUCUCACGAACAUGUCCCUUAUUUAUUGCAGCUUAAACCUAACACCUAUAGGUCUGUGGGAUUUCCAACGCUUGUUUGGAGGGAAUACUCCCGCCUAAACUUCCUGCCCUACUUUUUCCGCAACCACCAACAUUGGUUCAUACAUCUACCCACCGGUCAUCUCUUUUUCCAAAGCACUUCAGUGUUACAUAAAUCUGUUCUAUUUAUCAGUACAUGUGGACAAUGCCCUGUGGACAAGUUAUAAUAGACAAAUAACUAUAUCCAUAUGAAGAUGUGCGAAGCCAUUAGUAAACCAGAUCCUAAUCACGCUUACUGUUUGUUAAACAUGAGAAAGUAAAUGACAUAAUUCAUAAGGUGUUUCAUUAUGGAUAAUGCAUAGUAAAUGACAUAAUCCAUAGUGCCUCCCAUUUACACUUAUACUAAUCACGCUUACUGUUUGUUAAACAUGAGAAAGUAAAGGGAAUUCUUUUGAUUAACUCCACUAAGACAAAAUUUUAAGUUCGAAGCCAUGUGGAUACCUUUGACCUUUACUUCAUAAGUUAGGUAGCUAUUUGGCACAUGUACAAUCCCAUGAGAUUUUAUUGGUUGUUAAACAUGACAACACUCGUCGAAAGAUAAUGGGCUCACAUUUUAGCCUAAUUAAUAUAGACAUUAAUAUACUGAACACACAUAUCCUUGAACAUAUCCUUAACCGCUUGGCUACAGCCCAAAAAAUUACCAAUGUAACUUAUCCCCCAUUACAACCUAAACCAUCGGCUUUUUGUCUUUCACAAAAAAAUACCAGACUAACCGAAAACCCCAUUACAACUGUGUGGCCUGACAAUGUAGUCCAAAAAAUUUCAUCACACAUAUCCGUUAAUUGUUUAGCUUAACCAAAACACCCAUUACAUCAAAAACCUCCCGGGUGUCGACUUUUCCAUCAUCCAUAACUCUCUUCAGAUGGGGUUGUUACACCUAGUCCUAUUGUGCCCAGUCCCUUUGCACCUCGAACAUCUCUGAAUUUUCGCCGGAGCUGUCGAAGAUUUCUAUUCAAACAAACAAUAACUCAAUGUCAAACCAUCACAACCAUCAAAUAUAGAUAAUGGCAAACCAUCACAACCAUCAAUGUCAAACGUGCCAAACAUUGUAAAGAUUCAAAUAUCUUACUGGGAUUUCUCCAAUGGACGGUAUCCUCGAUUGUUUAGGCCUCCCGGAUGGCCUCCGUGCAUUAGGUGGCAGCAGCUCCCUAUAGACAAUCUCGUCAGACAACUCUAUGUUGGAUGCAUCAAACUCUGGGGUAAUGACCCCUGCAUAAGUAGCUGCCCAUGUAGUUGUUUUGUAAAACUCCCCUACCAGUGUAGCAUGAGGAAUCCCUUGAGUAUUUGCUGCCAACAUCGCAUGGCCACAUGGGAUUUUGUCUUUGUCAUAUUUUUUGCACGUGCACUUCUUCAAAUCCAGCAAAACAUGAUGCUUCCCACCGAACAACCCUACCACUUCAUAACUCCAGCUACUUAUAGUACCAACCUUGCUACUCUUUACCUCCACCAUACGCUUUGUCAUCUGUUUAUCUACCUCGGGUGUCACCAAACCCUUAUGCUUCCCAGCCUUCUUCCUACGAGCACUAAACCAGCGAGUAAGCAUAGCACGGAUGAAUUUCAGAAGCUCCACUAUUGGCGAAGCCCUUCCUUUCCACAAAGCCUUGUUCAAAGUCUCUGCGAUGUUGCUAGUCAUAAGGUUAUAACGUUCUCCUUGGAAAUAUGCCCGUGACCAAUGAGCAGCCCCAAUUUUGUCCAAGUACUUAGCACAUUCCAUGUUUUUCGCCCUUAUAUUUUUGUAUAACACCCUGAACGCACCAACUGUGUAAGCAUAACCAGCGUUGCUAACCAUCUUCGCCAAACCUUUGCUAUGGAAUCUAGCAUUAACAUUCCUAGCCAAGUGAACUAUACAAGCUCCAUGCUUAGCUUUUGGGAAAACACUUCUCUUAGCCGUGUAUAUAGACUGGUUAUGAUCUGAAAUUAUCGUUAGCGUAUCACUGUCAGCAAUAAUCCUCUCUACCUUCUGGAAAAACAAUGUCCAAGCUUCAUCAUUCUCGCUAUCCACAAUUGCGAACGCUAGGGGGAACACUUGGAAGUUAGCAUCCUGUCCACUUGCUGUCAACAAUACUCCCUUAUAUUUCCCGAUCAAAUGUGUCCCAUCCACAACUAGCACUCGCCGUAGAUGCCUAAAACCUUGGAUUGACGCACCAAAUGCUAGAAACAUAUACAAGAAUCGCUCUUUUCCAUCAUCUCCAACUACAGUUUUAAUGUCAGUCACGGUGCCAGGAUUUCCAAGCUUCAAUGCGUGCAAAUAAUCAGCAAGUUUGUCAUACUAUUCUUCCUCUGUCCCAAACAAAUUCCCCUGGGCCUUCUCCCGCGCUCUCCAACAUUUGCUGUAAGAUGCAUCAACCUUAAGCUCUUCCAAUACUAGCUGUUGCAAAUCCAUUGGUACAAGCCCCUUUGAGGGAUCACUGUAUUUAGCUUUAUAAACAGCUGCUAUUACUCUCGAUGUUGCCUUCUUCUUGUACUCAUUUCUUGUUUCCACGGGGCAAGUGUGUUCAAGUGAAGCUUUCCUUAUUUCAUAAUAACCACUGUUUCUCAACUCACAACACAACAUCCUCCAAUCACAUCUUUCAUCCACCCAGUUUAGCACAAAACAAUCCUUCCUGGUUCUCGUUUGUCUGAAAUGGAACAUUUUUUUAUCGCAUAUAUAGCUAUCCCUAUUUGGCAAUCCUCCUUACUUGCGAAUACUUUGCCCUUGUAUAUCCCUCUCUCGUCAUCAUCCCAAUCAAGAUCCGGUAUCGCUUCCCUCACAUACUCUGUAUCAUCAAACAAUGGUGGAAUAUCAAAUUCCUCAUCAUCUAUCUCCUCUAACUUACGUUUCUCUGCAGGACGUGUCGUCCUCUGCCCAUUACUUUCACCAAGCGGAUCACCUAACCCCCCUCUUUGUGGAUAUCGAACAGCCCCCUUAACAUCUUCCUCCUUUUUCAAGUUCACACUUUCAUCAAAAGGGUCAUGUGAGCUCCACAUUACCUCAACUGGGUUGGUCCGACCAAAAUCAUCUCCAAUGAAAUUUCCCCAGAACUCUCUAUCAUAACCUUUAGGAGACACCACAACAUCAGUUUCUUCUGGUUCCACCCCCUCCAUUUCACCCCAUUCACCUUCCGCUUCCAAACUUCCACCACCAGUCUCCCCACCUUCCUUCGUUUCUCUCACCACCUCGUCAACAUCAUCUAGUAGAUCUGCAUCAGAUUGCGUAGUAAUGAUUUCAGGUGGUUUUGAAGCAGGUGUAGACGUACCAGGAGUAGACGAUGUCAGGAAAAUAUCUUCCAAAUCAUUCUCGCUUCCACCUGAACUCUUACCAGAAGAGUAACUCCCGCAUCCUCUCUUCACGCCACCCUCACACUCUGCUUUCCCGGUUGCUAUUUCCACACCUCUUUUUCUGUAUUCCCCAAACUUAACAAACAUGUUCAAGCACUUGUUUGAGCGGAACAGACUAUUGAAAUACUCCAAACCACUGGGGGUAGUGACCAGCACUGGAGGAGUUCUCGCCCCUGUCGUGAACUCCAUACUAUUGGGUGGACAGAAGCUGAAACUAGCCUUUUUCACCCCGACGUUAAACUCCGACACGACAGCAUCUUCAAAGUCUCCCAGAGACAUAUCCUCCGACACCGGCACCGCUCUCGAAACCAAAUACUUGUCCACUUCAAACCUCCAAAUCCCAUCCAAGCAAAGAGACCACUCUCCACACAGAACGAUACAAUGUCCAUCGAAACCAACCUAAUCCACAAAAACAUAGCAUAGUUAGUUUUCAAAAGUUUCGAAUCCACCCAACUCCAUAACAAAAUUGGGAAUCAUGUAUCCACGCAAAAAACCUUUGAAUCAGACAUGUCGGCUGUUCGGGAGCAUUCACAAAAUACAAUUUACUUCUUUUCCUUAUCCACACAACAUCAUAACCUUAAAAAAAUUGGUUCCCAAAUAUCAGCCGCACGAUCUAUGUCAACUACAGUUUAUAACUGACGGUUCAGAUCUAUUUUAAAGGAACUUCUUUAGUUAGUAUCUAGUUAACGCUCUUUUUUAUGUCCUCCAACAUGUGAGGUUAUUAUCGUCCAUAAACGUAGUCUACAGUGCCAAAAACAUUGAAAAACGGCGCCUCAUCCCAAAAGGGUGUCAUAUUGUAACAAAACAUAGACAAACGGUGCUAUCAAGCAACCUUCCCAAUAAAGAAUUGAUGAUGAUUUUGAUUGUUCUUCUCAAUUUUAUUGCGCGAGAUGAAGAGCGAUUGUAAGUCAGAGUGAUGACGUUUGAAGAAAACUAGAGAAUCGGAAAAAGGAAAAUCAUUCCAUUUUUACUGCUCUCACUUUUUUCUCUUUGUGUACGAUUUUUCAGAUCUAGUUUUGUUUCUUUAUUGUUUUGCCCAGAUCUUCAUUGUGGCUUGACUUUUCAGAAGAGAAAGGGCAACAAGAGUGAACUUUCCAUUCAUUCCCAUCAGCGUAGAGGUGGGGUUCCGACAAACAAUGCAGCUGUGACAUGGCUGAGGAUCCCUGAUUUAGGUAUCUCCCGUUGAAAACUACCGAGGUUUUAUGUAUUUUAUAAACCAUAUUAAAGUUUAUAAUUUUCAUUAUUUAAAAGGGGUAUCUUUGAAAAUAGAUAGAAAAUGGCGUAUUUUUUAAAAAAUGUACACCAAAAGGGGCAUUCUCAAAAAUUCUCAAACAAAAUUAUUGUAAAAACCUCUAUAUAUUAGUAUUCAAUAAACUAAUAAUCACUAAUAAAAUUUUUCCCGUUUCAAAUUAGGUCAAUAUAAUUUUGUAUCUCUUUGUAUACUUGGAUUCCACGUCAGCAUGACUUAUGCACACUUGGAUUCCACAUCAGCAUGACUGCUGAACACAUUGAUGCCACAUCAUCGUUAAUUAAACAUUUAUCACGUUUUUGUAUGUUUAGGUACAAAAACUAAACUUUAUGUUUGAAAUUGAAAUUAUUUAAAAGUGCAUGUAUGUUAUAGCACAUGCGAUAGUUCAAUGUAUAAAUUCAACACCGUGUAAUUGUGCCAUACAUAGAUAUAAGUUAAGAUACAAAUAUAAUAUUACCAUUAAUGAGAAAUUGUAUUUUGUUUUAUAAAUACAAUUAUUCCAUUGGCAAUACAUGUAGUUAAAUUUUCCUAUUUUUGUCUUCAACUUACAACCGUCUUUCGACUAUUUUUGCCUGUUUGUUUGCUUGUGACCAGUGACAGUGACAUCGAUUAGUGACAGCGACCAAAACAUGUUCAUUUGCCUGUCGAUGAUCCCGCGACAGUCGCCAGAGACCAGCUACAGCAAUUUUUAGUCCUAGAAAAUUUCAGCGAUCAUCAGCGAUCAGUCGCUGCAACAUGUCGCUAGAUUAAGCGAUAGGCAAAUGAACAACAUAGCGACUACAAAUCUAAAAAGUGUUUAAUUAAAUUGAUUAAAGUUAAAUAAAUUAAAUUUUGAUCAAAAUUAUUGAAAAUUAAACUAAAUAUAAUAAAUCACAUAAACAAUUUUUUUAAAAAAAUAUUAAUUUAAUGUAAUUUAAUUAUAUUCUAAAUAAAUGAAUUAUAAUUAAAUUAAAUUUAACAAAAUUAAAGUGAAUAAAAUAAAGAGAAAAUUGUGGGUUAUGCCCUGAAUAGUAACAAAACUUUUAAGGAAUGCCAUUUAAAGAAAUCCUUUCUCCCUUACCCCAUUAUCUCUCUCUUCUUCUUCAUCUUCAUCUUCAUCUUUUUUUUUUAAUUAUUUCAACAACACACAGUACUGACGGAUUUCAACAACACACAGUACUAACGGACCAGAUCCGACGGCCGAACUCCGAUGGACCAGAUCCGGCGGACCAUAGCCAAUUCCGGUGAACUAUAACCAGCUCCGUAGACCAGUUUCGGCAGACCAGAUUCGACGGACCAGUUCCGACAGACCAUAACUCCAGCAGACGAGUUCCGGCAGACCACAGUCAGUUCCGGCAGACCACAGUCCGGGGGACAAAUUCCUAGGGACCAGAUCCGACAAACCAGUUCCGACAGACGAGAUCCGAUGGACCAGAUCUAAUGGACCCGAAUCGGUAGACCAAGCUUGUCUAUCCUACAGUUCUCUUGAAACCACAAAUAAUUGAGUAGAAUAUGAAACAAGUGAUGCAUCUAUGGAAGAUAUCCAUCAACGAUCUAUCUAGGUGUACACUUUGGAUCACACAUUUGUGCGUAGAUGGACUAGAUCCAGUGGACUAGAUCCGAUGUCCAGAUCCGAUGUCUGUAAUAUGUCCAUUUUUGUUUCCUAAUUUGUUGUCCAUCAUGCGUAUAGAGUAAAGUAAAUCUAGUUUUUCAUAAACGAACUUGUCCACAAUAUAUUUCUUAGAUGAAUAGAAAAGAAAUUGUCCAUAAUCGAGUGUGGACAAAAAUCAAAGAGUGUCGACAAAGAAAAACUUGUCUAUUGCUUAAUGUCCGUAAAAGUCAGCCUUUUUUGUUUUCCUUCCUUCCUAUUUUAGCAAAACUCACUCAACAAUGCUGAGGGCAAAAUUGUCCAAGUUUUCUUCUUUGUGGCAUGUUUUGAAAGACAUUAUUGAUAAUGACACUUCCACAAUUUUGAGUUUUCAAAAUGGCAUAAUACAUAAAAUUCCGUAAAAUAAAACUAAGACAUAAAUUCGUGAUUUGAAAAAAUAUUAUUAAACUAUUUCAUAAUGUAUAUGUAAAUUAUAUUGUAAAUAUUUUUAUAAUGUAUAUGUAAAUUAUUUUUUAUUUGAAAAUACAAAAUAACAAAAAUUAAAGAGAACUUUUGAGAAAUGCCCCUUUUGGUGUAUCCUUUUUUAAAAAUAUCCCCAUUUUCUAUCUAUUUUCAAAAAUACCCCUUUUCAAAUAUGAAAAAUUGCAAACUUUUAUAUACUUUAUAAGGUACAUCUAGAUCAUCAUUACUACUAAGAGAUUCAAUCCAAAUAUUUAUAAAGUUAUAAAAGUUUCUAAACGGCAUUUAUAAGGCUUUUAUAAGGUUUUUAAAAGGUUUACAAAGUUUUUAUAUAGUUUUAAAUGAUUUUUAAAAGGUUUUUAAAAGGUAUUUAAAAAAAUGGUAUUGGAAAAUGGUAUUUAUAUAUACACACAUACAAAAAUAGUUUGUGGAGAAUUUUUGAGAAAUACCCCUUUUGGUGUACCCCUUUUUAAAAAUACCCCUUUUAUCUAUCCAUUAUCAAAAAUACCCCUGUUUAAAUAUGAAAAAUUAUAAUUUUUAUAUGGAUUAUAAGGUACUUCUAUAUAAUAACUACUACUGGGAGAUUCGAUACAAAUAUUUUAUAAUGUUUUAAAAUGUUUUAAAUCGUUUUUACAAGAUUUAUAAGGUUUUUAAAAGGAUUUAUAAGGUUUUUAAAAGGUUUUUAUAAGUUUUUACGGUAUUUAUGAAAGUUAUAUAAAAUUUUAUACACAUACAAAGCUAAUUUUCGUAUAUUUAUAAGCUUACACAUAUAUUUGGAUUGAUUUCAACAUUUUUAGUGGUUAUUUUGAUAAAGUUGGAAAAUAGGGUAUUUUAGAAAAGUGGUAUUUGAAAAGGUUCAUCUUUUUAAAUUCCCUCUAUUUUGUGUGUAUAUAUAUAAGCUUACACAUAUUUUUCUGAUAAAUUUCAAAAUUUUAGUGACUUUUCGAUCAAAUUUGAAAGAGAGAUACUUUUAAAAAAUGAUAUUAGAAAAUAGUAUUUUUGAAAUUCUUCCAAAAUUAAAACAAAAACGACAUUCGCUAGGGACAGAUACGAACAACAUAGCGACAGUCGCCAGCAACAGUUUUUACAGUCGCCAGCGACAGAUCUUACAGUCGCUAGCGAUCAGGCAAACGAACAGGACAGAUGUACUGCACAUUACUUUCCAUUCAUAAAAAUAAAUAGUUAUCAUUUAUUAUUGCAGUUCUCCCGUCAAAAUUCUGCAGGUAGGAUAAAAAAUAAAAUAUUUUUAUUUUAUAGUCAUGAUUUUAACUGAUAAAGGAGUGCAGAACAAACACAGCUAUUUUAAAGUGUUUAAUAUAUGAUCUGCACUUGAACUGCCAGAUCUGCUCAAUCUACUUUUAUUCUGCUAGAUCUGUUUAAUACGCCUGAUCUGCUCUGCUUGUUAUGCUUUCUCCUUUCGAAGCCUUAAGAGAGCGAACUAACGUAGAUUACUUAUUUAUAUAUUACUUACCCGAAUCUACUUAACUAAAAAUUUAACUUGAUUUAGUUAAUGAAAAAUAAAGCAUGAUUUACAUUUUACAACACUAGAUUUUGAUACAAAACUUAUAAUAAAUAAUUCAAUAGUAUCGGAUAGUACGUAAAUUUAAAAUUUGUUACAUGAUUGAACGAUACCCUUAAACACCAUUACUAAUCAAAUAAAUACAACUUUUGAAUGUACGACUACGUUAGAACAAUAAAAACAAAAGUUAACAAGCAUCACUCAAGUUUUAUCAACACUCACAAGUUACAAGUCUCUUCUUGACCAAUAUUUACUAGUAUAUAUCUUCCAAAACACAGUGACUUGCUAAUUACUCAACAGAAUGUUCAACGUAUAACCACUCGAACCUAUCAGAUUAGAUAACCGGUUUAAUGGUUUAGUAAAUUAACUUGUAUAGAUGCUGUAUAGUAAUAGUAUAUAUACGUUGUACAGUUGAUCAUUUUACAAUUAAUGAGAAUAAACAGAUUAAUAUCUCUAACAAACUUUUCUCAUCUCUCUCAAUCUCAUGAACGCUAACAUGGUAUCAGAGCCAUCAAUGGUGAUUUCUACGUAAUUCCGAUCAGAUUUCGUCGUUUUUGAGCUCGAUUCUUUGUUUCCGCCGAUUGUUUUGAAGAUCCGAUGGUGUCUGUUGCUCGUGGUAUACGGAAAUCGACUCGAUCGAAGUCCUCGACGAGUUCCGCCGUUCGCAAGCAAUCACAGUCCACCGGAAAUGUUGAAUCACCUCCGGAUUCUCCUCCAGUUGCACCGUCUCGUGCUUCUAGAGCUUCGCGAGGUUCUCUCUCUCUUGGAUCUGAAGAUCCGACGCAGUCUCCGUUCUUUAUGCAUAGCGCUGAUCAUCCAGGUUUAAACAUCAUCUCUCAUCGUUUAGAAGAAACGAAUUAUGGUGACUGGAGUGUUGCUAUGCGUGUUUCUCUUGAUGCUAAGAAUAAGAUCGGGUUUAUAGAUGGAUCUUUACCUCGUCCGUUGGAAUCGGAUAGUAAUUUUCGUCUAUGGUCUCGAUGUAACAGUAUGGUGAAGUCCUGGCUCUUGAAUUCUGUAUGUCCUCAGAUAUAUCGUAGCAUUUUACGUAUUGAGAAUGCUUCUGAUAUAUGGCGUGAUCUCCAUAGUCGAUUUCACAUGACUAAUCUCCCACGCACAUACAAUCUCACUCAAGAACUUCAGGAUUUUCGUCAAGGAUCUUUAUCUCUCUCUGAAUAUUAUACUCGCUUGAAGACUUUAUGGGAUCAGUUGGAUAGUGCAGAGGAGAUCAAUGAUCCUUGUACUUGUGGAAAAGCUGCUCGUCUGCAACAGAAGGCAGAGAGAGCUAAGAUAGUAAAAUUCCUAGCUGGAUUGAAUGAGUCUUAUGCUAUCAUUCGCAGACAGAUUAUUGCUAAGAAAGUUCUUCCUAGUUUAGCUGAGGUGUAUAACAUUUUGGAUCAAGAUAACAGUCAACAAGGGUUCUCAAAUGUUAUUGCUCCACCUACAGUUUUUCAAGUCUCUGAGAGUGUUCCUGCCAGCUCUGUUUUUGUUUCUAACCCUGCAGAUCAAACCAUAUGCUAUGUUCAGAAUGGUCCUAAUAAAGGAAGGCCAAUUUGUUCAUUUUGCAAUCGUGUUGGUCAUAUUGCAGAAAGAUGUUACAAGAAACAUGGCUUUCCCCCUGGUUUCACUCCUGCUACAAAGAAACAGUCUACUGAGAAGAAUCAGAAAUCUCAACCUCUGGCUGCUCAAGUUGCUAUGAUGCCUACAGAACCUGAUAGUUUGGAAUCUAUGAUUGGGAACAUGAAUAAAGACCAGCUCAAACAGUUCAUUGCUAUGUUCAGUUCUCAGCUUCAGUUUCAACCAAACAAUACCACAGCUGUAGCUUCUACUUCCAAUUCCACUAAUACUGGUAUUUCUUUCUCUCCAUCUACCUAUUGUUUUGUUGGAAUCUUGACUGUUGCCAAUAAGACUCUAUCCUCACAAUCAUGGGUGAUAGAUUCUGGGGCUACACAUCAUGUUUGCCAUGAUAAGAGUCUCUUCUUGAUGAUUGAUCCGAAUCUUGUGAGUUCAGUAAACUUACCUACAGGAUCUACAGUCAAGAUUAGUGGUGUUGGCACUGUUAAGAUCAAUGACAACAUUCUUCUCAAGAAUGUGUUGUUCAUUCCAGAAUUUAGAUUGAAUCUCCUGAGUAUUAGCUCUCUCACUGAUGAUCUUGGUUCUCGUGUAAUAUUUGAUCCGUCUACUUGUGAAAUUCAGGAUCCUAUCAGGGGAAUGAGCAUUGGGAGAGGUAGGAGAGUGUCAAAUCUAUAUGUGUUGGACAUUGAAGAAACACCAGUCUCAGUGAAUGCAGUUGUGGAUAUCAGUUUAUGGCAUAGAAGACUUGGUCAUGCUUCUUUACAGAGAUUGGAUGUCAUUUCUGAGUCUUUAGGAACUACCAAGCAUAAGAAUAAAGGAACAGAUUUUUGUCAUGUCUGUCACUUAGCUAAGCAGAGGAAGUUGUCUUUUCCUUCUCCAAAUAACAUUUGUAAUGAAACCUUUGACAUGUUGCAUAUUGAUAUUUGGGGACCUUUCUCUGUGGAAACAUUUGAUGACCAUUCAAGAGCAACAUGGAUUUACUUGUUAAGGAAUAAGUCAGAAGUCCUCACAGUAUUUCCAGCUUUUAUUCAACAAGUUGAGACUCAGUAUAAUAAGAAGGUAAAAGCAGUGAGAUCAGAUAAUGCUCCUGAGUUGAGUUUUACAAGCUUCUAUCAACAAAAAGGGAUUAUGUCUUUCCAUUCCUGUCCAGAAACUCCUGAGCAGAAUUCAGUAGUGGAGAGGAAGCAUCAACAUAUUCUGAAUGUUGCUAGAGCAUUGAUGUUCCAAUCUCAGGUUCCUUUGUCUUUUUGGGGUGAUUGUGUGUUGACUGCAGUCUUUCUCAUCAACAGAACACCAUCACCGCUUCUUGCUAACAAGGCACCAUAUGAGAUUCUCACUGGUACACCUCCUAAGUAUGAUCAGAUCAGAACGUUUGGAUGUCUUUGUUACAGUUCAACAUCACCAAAACAGAGACACAAAUUUCAACCACGAUCAAGAUCAUGUGUGUUUUUGGGCUAUCCAGCUGGUUACAAAGGGUAUAAGUUGAUGGAUUUGGAGAGUAACAAAGUUUUUGUAUCCAGGAAUGUGAUUUUUCAUGAAGAUGAGUUUCCAUUGGCCACAUCUCAACAGUCUGAGGCAUCUCUGGAAUUUUUCACACCAAUGGUUCCUGUGCAUACAACUGAACAGCAAACUCCUCUUCCUUCUUUUCAUCCCUCACAAAUUUCUGAUAUAUCACUACCCAUUUCUUCACAAAGAAUUCGGAAACCUCCUGCUCAUUUGUCUGAUUAUCAUUGCAAUUCUAUGCAAUCUCUUUUCAAAUAUCCUAUUUCAUCUACUCUUUCUUACUCUAAAAUUUCUCCUUCUCAUUUGUGUUAUAUCAAUAAUAUCACAAAGAUUCAUAUUCCAAAUUCAUAUGCUGAAGCACAGGGCACCAAAGAAUGGUGUGAGGCAGUUGAUGCAGAGAUUGGUGCAAUGGAAUCCACUAAUACAUGGGAAGUGACAACAUUACCACACGGGAAGAAAGCAGUAGGUUGUAAAUGGGUGUUUACUGUGAAGUUUUUGGCAGAUGGUACACUUGAGAGAUAUAAAGCAAGGUUAGUGGCUAAAGGUUAUACUCAGAAAGAAGGUUUAGAUUAUACUGAAACCUUUUCUCCUGUCGCUAAAAUGGCCACUAUCAAGCUAUUGCUCAAAGUAUCAGCUUCUAAGAAAUGGUUUCUGAAACAAUUGGAUGUAUCGAAUGCAUUUUUGAAUGGAGAAUUGGAUGAAGAAAUCUUCAUGAAGUUGCCUGAAGGAUAUGCAGAUCGAAAAGGCAUUGUUUUACCACCUAAUUCAGUUUGCAGGUUGAAAAGGUCCAUUUAUGGCCUGAAACAGGCUUCAAGACAAUGGUUCAAGAAGUUUUCAACCUCCUUAUUGAAUUUGGGUUUUCAGAAGACUCAUGGAGAUCAUACACUCUUUCUUCGCAGUUAUGAUGGUGAUUUUGUGGUUGUUUUAGUGUAUGUCGAUGACAUAGUCAUUGCAAGUACGAGUGAAGUUGCUGCAGCCAAGCUCACUUCUGACUUGCAGGCUCAGUUUAAACUUCGUAAUCUUGGGGAUUUGAAGUAUUUCCUCGGCUUGGAGAUUGCUCGUACUGCUGCAGGUAUUUCUUUAUGUCAGCGGAAAUAUGCUUUGGAAUUGCUUACUUCCACUGGCAUGCUUCAUUGUCAACCUGCUUCUACACCUAUGGUUCCAAAUCUGAGAAUGAUGAAGGGUGAUGGUGAUUUACUUGAAGACAGAGAAAUGUAUCGUCGCAUUGUUGGAAAAUUGAUGUAUUUGACCAUCACCAGACCAGAUUUGAGCUUUGCUGUUAACAAGUUGUGCCAAUUUUCUGCUGCUCCACGUACAACUCAGUUGAUUGGUGUUUAUCGUGUCUUGCAGUACAUCAAAGGCACUGUAGGUCAAGGUCUAUUCUACUCUGCUUCUCCUGAUCUUACUUUGAAAGGAUUUGCAGAUGCAGAUUGGGCAUCAUGUCCUGAUAGUCGUCGCUCCACUACUGGUUUCACCAUGUUUGUUGGUGAUUCCCUUAUCUCUUGGCGCUCCAAGAAGCAAACAACAGUUUCUCGCUCUUCUGCAGAAGCUGAAUACAGAGCUCUUGCUCUGGCUACUUGUGAGGUCAUUUGGUUACAGACUUUGCUAAAAUCCUUGCAAGUCUCAUCUGCUGUUCCUAUACUCUUCUCAGAUAGUACAACAGCCAUACACAUUGCUACCAAUCCUGUAUUUCACGAGAGAACGAAACAUAUUGACAUUGACUGUCAUACAGUCCGGGAUCGGUUAGACAAUGGCGAGCUUCGACUACUUCAUGUUCGCACAGAUGAUCAGAUUGCUGACAUCUUAACUAAACCAUUGUUCCCUCAUCAGUUUGAAUAUCUGAAGUCCAAGAUGAACAUCCUUAACAUUUUUGGAGUGUCAUCUUGAGGGGGCCUAUCAGAUUAGAUAACCGGUUUAAUGGUUUAGUAAAUUAACUUGUAUAGAUGCUGUAUAGUAAUAGUAUAUAUACGUUGUACAGUUGAUCAUUUUACAAUUAAUGAGAAUAAACAGAUUAAUAUCUCUAACAAACUUUUCUCAUCUCUCUCAAUCUCAUGAACGCUAACAGAACCCACCGCAGGGUUAGGUUAUCAAGAGAUUAUUAAAGAGCCACAACUUGGAUAGGUUUCUUAAGCACCAAGAGAGAAAGAUAAGAGUGAGUUAGAGUACGUGAGAAUGGCUUUUGCAGAGAAGAACCCUUCUUAUAAUCUUCGUUUUCUUUUGAUCAUAUGCAUAGUUUUGAGCUGUUCUAUCGCAGCUUCUGCAACUAUCGCAGAAGCAAAUGCUCUUCUAAAAUGGAAAUCUACUUUCAAGAACCAGAGACCCUCAUCAAAGUUGUCUUCGUGGGUCAAUGGAAACACCAAUACAAGCUUUUUCUGCACCAAUUGGUAUGGUGUUUCCUGCAACUCACGAGGGAGUAUCGAAAAGUUAAACCUCACUGACAACGCUAUAGAAGGUACUUUCCAAGAUUUCCCUUUUUCGUCUCUCCCAAACCUUGCUUACAUUGAUCUUAGCAUGAACAGUUUCUCUGGAUCUAUCCCUCCUCAAUUCAGAAACAUCUCCAAGCUAAUCUACUUUAACCUCUCCACAAACUACUUAACCGGAUCGAUUCCAUUUGAGAUCGGUCUCUUAACCUCAGUUCAAGAUAUCGACUUGUCUAACAAUUCCCUAUCUGGACCAAUACCCUCUUCCAUUGGAAAUCUAAACAACUUGGUAAAACUGCACCUCUUUUCCAAUUCUUUCUCGGGUCCACUUCCUUCUGAGAUUGGAAACUUACCCAACCUUGUUGUUCUAGGUCUUAGUAGAAACAACCUGUCUAAGUCAAUACCCUCUUCCAUUGGAAAUCUCACCAAUUUGGUAAAGGUUUAUCUUCAUACCAAUUCUUUCUCGGGUCCACUUCCUUUUGAGAUUGGAAACUUACCCAACCUUGUUAAGCUAGAUCUUAGUACAAACAACCUGACUGGACCAAUACCCUCCUCCAUUGGAAAUCUAACCAACUUGGUAAAACUGCACCUCUUUUCCAAUUCUUUCUCGGGUACACUUCCUUACGAGAUUGGAAACUUACCCAAACUUGUUGAGAUAGGUCUUUACAGAAACAACCUGUCUGGACCAAUACCCUCUUCCAUUGGAAAUCUAACCAACUUAGUAAAAUUGUACCUCUAUACCAAUUCAUUCUCGGGUUCAAUUCCUUCUUCCUUAGGAAACCUGAAGAACUUAACAGGUCUUUAUCUUGAUAUGAAUUAUCUAAGUGGUUUCAUUCCCGUGGAACUAGGAAACAUGGAAUCCAUGAUUCAGUUGGCGAUAAGUCAGAACAAUCUUAUAGGUUAUGUUCCUAAUUCCUUUGGAAACUUUACCAACCUGGAAUUGUUGUGCCUUAGUGAUAACCACCUCUCUGGUCUUAUUCCACUAGGAGUAUCAAACUCUUCAAAGUUGACUAUCUUGCAACUCGGUAGAAACAACUUCACUGGUUUCUUGCCUGGAAACAUUUGUGAAGGUGGGAAGCUUCAAUAUCUCUCAUUAGAUGAUAAUCACCUCGAAGGUCCUAUACCAAAAAGUUUGAAAAAUUGUCAGAGCUUGAUUAGAGCAAGAUUCAUAGGGAACAUAUUCAUUGGAGAUAUUUCUGAAGCUUUUGGUGUUUACCCACAUCUUGAUUUCAUUGAUCUUAGUCACAACAAAUUCCAUGGUGAGAUUUCAGGCAACUGGGAGAAGAGUCGAAAACUAGGUGCCUUGAUCAUGUCAAACAACAACAUCACAGGUGUUAUCCCACCAGAGACUUGGAACAUGACACAACUAGUUGAGUUGGAUCUGUCUACCAACAACCUAAUUGGUGAGCUUCCAGAAUCAAUUGGAAAACUCACAGGUUUGUCAAAGCUACUACUUAAUGGGAAUCAGCUAUCUGGAAGAGUUCCCGCAAGGUUGAGUGUCUUAACCAUGCUUGAGUAUCUGGACUUAUCUUCAAACAAUUUUAGUCAGAUCCCACAAACCUUUGAUUCAUUUUUAAAGCUUCAUGACAUGAACCUGAGCAGGAACAUGUUCAACGGAUGCAUUCCCCGACUAACAAAACUUACUCAGUUAAAUCAUCUUGAUCUCAGCUACAACCAGCUAGAUGGAGAAAUCCCAUCACAACUCAGCUCCUUACAGAGCCUUAACAAGCUCGACCUGUCACACAACAAUCUUUCCGGUAUCAUUCCCACAAGUUUUCAGGGCAUGAAAGGGCUGACAUAUAUCGAUAUAUCAAACAAUAAACUCGAGGGUCUGCUACCAGAAAAUCCCGCGUUUGAAAACGCAACAGCAGAUUCACUGGAGGGAAACAUAGGCUUAUGCAGUAAUAUUCCUAGACAAAGGUUGAAAUCAUGCCCUAUCACUUCCCCCGGGUUCAAGAAAAAGAAGAAUGGCAACCUUAUUGUUUGGAUACUAGUGUCGAUCCUAGGGGCACUCGUCAUUCUCUCUAUAUGUGCAGGUAUAUUUACCUACUACCUUCGAAAACGAAAAAAACACAUUGGAAAUAACAACUCAUAUGCUGAUAGUGGACAGACUCUGUCCAUCUUUUGCUACGAUGGCAAAGUCAAAUACCAAGAUAUCAUCCAAUCCACAAAUGAAUUUGAUCCAAAAUACGUGAUCGGAAUCGGAGGAUACGGCAAAGUCUACAAAGCAAACCUCCCAGGCGCAACCGUAGCAGUGAAAAAGCUACACCAAACAAUGAACGAAGAGAUAUCAAAGCCAGUGGUGAAGUAAGAGUUCCUAAACGAAGUAAGAGCGUUAACAGAGAUCCGUCACCGCAACGUCGUGAAGCUCUUCGGCUUCUGCUCCCACCGCCGCCACACAUUUCUGAUCUACGAGUACAUGGAAAAAGGAAGUUUAAACAAACUGUUAGCUGACGACAAAGAAGCUAAGCAACUCAACUGGACCAAAAGGAUAAGCAUCAUCAAAGGUGUUGCAAACGCGUUAUCGUAUAUGCACCAUGACCGAACUACUCCAAUCGUCCACCGUGAUAUUAGUAGCGGCAAUAUCCUUCUCGAUAACGAUUACAAAGCUAAGAUCUCCGAUUUCGGUACAGCGAAGCUUCUCAAGAUGGAUUCCUCAAAUUGGUCCGCCGUCGCCGGAACCUACGGCUACGUCGCUCCAGGUAAAUCUAAAUCAACGAUAAUUGAAAAUUGAAAUUGAGCUCAUGAAACUGAAAAUUCUCAACAGAAUUGGCUUACGCGAUGAAGGUGACGGAGAAAUGCGAUGUGUAUAGCUUUGGAGUAUUGACGCUGGAAGUGAUAAAAGGGAAACAUCCGGGAGAUUUGGUUUCGGCUUUGUCAUCUUCGUCUCCGGGAGAAACUCCGUCGUUGAGAAGCAUUUCCGAUGAGCGUUUAGGAGAACCAGAGGCGGAGAUUAGAGAGAAGCUUGUGAAGAUGAUGGAAGUGGCGUUGUCGUGCUUACAAGCAGAUCCAAUGUCUCGGGCAACAAUGUUGUCAAUAUCCACAGCGUUCACUUAAAAAAUUAUAAUAUAAUGGUUUUACAAUUUAAAUAAAACACAAAUAAUUAUUUGUUUAGGAAGUAGUACGUAAGUUUGUUAAACACAUGAUAAAUGAAAAUUAACUUUUUUCUCUUCUCAUGAUGCCAUUAACUAUUCACCUAAACAAUAUUUUUCUUUUUACACAAAAGUAAAUUUAAAAUAUGUAUUUAAUUUAUAUUUAUGUUACUUAUAAUUAAUAAAAAAUUUAUAUAAAUAAAAUGAAUUAUAUAAAAUAAUUGAAAUAUUCAAAUAAUAAAAACAAUAUUGUAAUGUUUUAUUAGUGGUAGUAAUAUAAUUCAACUUUUAUUUUAAACUAAUUAUAGUUUAUAAAUAGUUUAAAAGUUUAAAUAUGUUACUGGAUUUUAGAAUGGAAGUAAAUUUUAAUUUCAUCGUAGAAUAAAACAACCUUUAUGUAAUUGUAUAUAUAAAAUUUUAAACAUGAAAAAUAAAACUAAAAGUAAAAUAUUAGUUUAUAAGAUGAUCAGAAAGAGAAAAAAAUGAUAUUUUAUAGAUUGAAUCAAAUACUUUUAAUCCAAAUUUGAGUAUUAAAAGAUAGUAAUUAAAGAGAAAAUAGUUAUAAUUUGACUAUCUUCAAAAUAUAAAAAAGAAUUAUAAACUAAGCCCGGAUCAAUAACUAGUUAUGGUAUAAAUAAAUAUUAUUAUAAUUAUGUUAUUUUAGACAAACGUUUGACUUUUGGUAACUAAAUUAUAAUUAUGGCUGCGUAAUGUGAAUAAACUAAAUCCUGUAGUUGUUUGUUUUGGCUGAAUAAUAUUUUGUUCAAAAUUAUGUUAUAAAUAAAUAUUACUAUAUAUAGUUUAUAACAUGUAGUCCUCUCUUAAUAAUUUUUAAUAUCAAUUUAAAUAUUUUUUGGUGUUCGAAAAGACAGUUGAAAGAUGGAAGUAUGUGUAAUGUGUUCAUCAAUGCAAUUUGGUUUUGUAUUCGACAGUUUUAAUUGUUUUCGAGAAAUAGACCUUUUUAUAGAGGCCCUGUUCGGGGCAUAAUCGCAGCCGCAGCGAUUGAUGAUUAAUAAACAACCCUCAUCUCUCCUUCAUUUCUUUCUCUUUUCUUCUUCACUUCCAGUCGUGCGAUUCUUUUGUGACGAUUCCGAAGUCGCCGUAAUCAUGGGCGACACAAACUCAUGAUUAAUUGUCUACUUGCGACUGUAAUUUGUUAAAAAGCCAUGGACGAGCUUUUACAGAGCUUUACAGAGAAGAAAUAGAUCUAAUUCAAUAAUUCAAUUUCUAGUUAUUAUUUUAAUUUACAUUUUUACCUUUUUUUAAUUAUAAAUAAUAAUAAUAUAUAUCUUAUUUUCAAAAGGGUCGCACCUAUGAGUCGCACGAUCCCCUAAAGAACAGGGCCUCUGUUUUAUGUAUCACUGCACAAUGAACGUUAACUACCAAAUUGAGAUUAUUGACUUGACUUUACUUUCAAAGCACAGAAUGUUCCAACGUAUAUAACCCCUAAGAAUGUGCCAAAAUAAGAAUGGCUCGGUUAAGCCGAAGCCUACAUGCUUAAUUCAGACUUUAACUUGUUGUUAUUUUCUAAGUUUUCAUAUUUUCAUUAUUAACCAUCAAAUUACUUCCUACAAUAUAUAUCCAUUUAGAUUUUUUUUUUUUUGAGAAAUACUUACUAAUGCCCUGAUUUUUUUGGCCAUUUUCAUUUAUACCCUCUCUUAAUUUUAAUAUUCAUUUUACCCCUAGUUGAAAAUUAAUUAAGUCAACAAAAUGAAAAAUUGAAUUAUUUCCGCUAAAAAUUUUCUGGCCAAAUUUUUUUCACGGAAACACUGUUUUCAGAAUCAAAAAAUAGAAGGUUUUUAAAAGGAUUUUUAAAGGAUUUACAAAGAUUUUAAAGGAGUUACAAAGGUUUUUGAAUGGUUUUAAAAAUUUACAAGGGUCUUUAAAUAGUAUUAAAAAGAUUUACAAGGGUCUUUAAAUAAUUUUAAGAGUUUAUAAGGGUUUUUAAAGGUUUUAAAGGAUUUACAAUGAUUUUAUAAGGGGUUUAGAAGUUUAUAAGGGUUUUUAAAGAUUCUAAAAGGGUUUUUAAAUGGUUUUAAAGGAUUUACAAUGGUUUUAUAUGGGUUUUGAAGUUUAUAAGGGUUUUCAAAGAGUCUACAAGGGUUUUUAAAGGUUUUUAAAGGGUUUUUUAAAAAUUUACAAGGACUUUUAAAUGGUUCUAAAAAUAUUUACUAGGGUUUUUAAAUGGUUUUUAAAUUGAUUUACAAAGUUUAAAUAGUUUUUGAAGUUUAUAGAGAAUUUCUUAGAUAUACCCCUCUUGGGGUAUCUCCUUUUAAAAAUACCCCUAUAAGGGAAGCAUUUUUAAAACUACCCUCUUAAAGACUUUUAAGACAAUUUUACCCUCCUAAAUGACCUAAACACAGUUUCUCCUUUCUCUUCUCCUUUCUCUUCUCCUUUCUUCGCCGUUUUGUUUUGGAUCUUCACCGUCGUCUCUCGCCGUCGUCGUCCCUCGCCGUCGUCUUCUCUCGCCGUUGUCUUCUCUCGCCGUCGUCUCUUCUCGGCAUCGGCGUCGUCUCUUCUCGGCGUCGCCGUCGUCUUCUCUCGCCGUCGUCUUCUCUCGCCGUCGUCUUCUCUCGCCGUUGUCUUCUCUCGCCGUCGUCUCUUCUCGGCAUCGGCGUCGCCGUCGUCUCUUCUCUCCAUCGACGUCGUCUCUUCUCGGCGUCGCCUUCGUCUCUUCUCUUUAUCGCCUUCGUUUCUUAAUUACAUAUUUCCUGGUUCGUUUCCCAGAUCUGUUCACUACUUGAUUAGAUCUCAUCACUUUUUCAACCAAUAUUGUUCUUCUUCCAUGUACUUGUUAUCUGUUGUUGAAUUUUGAAGGAUUUUUUUUCAUUGUUGUUUCUAUUCUUAUACCUUUUAAAAUCCAUUUAAAAUCCUUAUAAUUCAUUUACUGACCACGUUUUCAUUGUGAUAUUUCUUUGUUUUCGCAGGACUUAGUUUAGAGAUGCUUGAACUGUAUUCAGUUUGUGGAUUAUGGAAGUUGAAGCAUAAUAUUAAAUGGGAAUUUGAAAUUGAUGAUGAGAGGGGAGUUUCUCUAAUUAGUAUUGAUGAGGGAACUAGUUUUACUGAUUUGGUCAAAAUUCUAUACGAAGAUUUUGCAAUUGAUAAUCAGAAACACUCUUUAAAGCUUAGUUUCCAGUUGCCUUCUAUGACUGCAACACUAGGUAGUCAUCCGAUUUUUAUUAGAAAUGAUAGGCAACUGGCAACUUUUAUGAGAAUUUCUGCACAAACACAAAGUAUUCAUUUAUGUGUUACUGUAGAGGAUAACUGUGUCAUAGUUGAGCAGGUAUAUUUUAUUGAUCUCUUUCUUAAUUUUGCUUAUAAAUCAUUACAAUCUUUAGUGACUGUAGUAAACUAUUUCUGCCUGUUUACUUUUCAGGAUCAAACUAGCUCAUAUCAGUUUGUUGCAAGCGAUGUAUCUUCUGCUUCUCAUUCUCAGGUAAACCUCUUUUAAAAUUACUGUUUAAAACUUUUGAAAACCUUAUAAAAAUCAUUUAAAACCCUUUUAAAACAUUAUAAACAAGACAAGUUGUUUGAAAACUCAUCUAUUAUUCGGAUACUGAAUUUGUACUUUCAGGUUCCGACAAUGCCUAAUCAUCCUGCUGCUACUUCUGGUCUUUUUACUUCCACUGAGGUAUCUAGAACGUCUACAAUCAUUAAUCAGCAGCCAGUUAUAUGUAACCAAACAACUUCUUUUGGGGCUAUUGAUGUUUCUUGUCCAAAUCGUACUCAGGUAAUCUACUACUUUAUAAAAACCCUUUAAAAAAAAUAUUGUUUCAAAUCAUUAUUAACUUAUUACGUCUUUAUUUUUCAGGAUCAAACUAGCUCAUAUCAGUUUGUUGCAAGCGAUGUAUCUUGUAAAAUACAUUUUAAAAGGGUUUUUUUUCUUUUUCUGUGAGAAGCCUUAUAUAAACAUUUUAAAACCCUUAUAAAAACCUUUGUAUUUCAAAUUCGUUUAAAACCCUUGUAAAGCUUUAUUAAUGAAAUCAAAAUUGUUUUACAAACCUUUUGUAAGAACCCUUGUAUUUAAAACAAGGUUAUAAACCGCGUAACUCGCAAUUAUAGUUUUAGUAUUGAAAUAGCACGAGUAUGAUUGAAGUGUUAUAUUGUAUUUUUCUUGGAAAUCCACUGAGAACAUUUUGUAAUGGUUUUAAAAGAUGAUUGAAGUGUUAUAAUAUUCUCAACAAAGAUAAAAGUAUUCAAAAGAUAAUUUUUUCAACAAGUGUUUUCAAAUCGACAUAGUUUCCAAAAGUAAAAUAAAAUAUAUCCUAGUUCUCCAUACUCCUUAGCAGUCAUCCAUAGUCCUACGCAAGGUAAUGUGAAUAACGUUAGGAAACUGUUUUAAACUGUUGUAAAUCCUACAAUAUUAAAAAAAAAAAAAUACUCAUACUAACCUAUGAAUUUCCUAAUUCAGCAAAUAUGUCAACCGCAAGUUUCUCUCGGAUAUCUGCAAUGCUGUGUUCAUGGAACUCGUCAUUAGUCCUUUUAGACAUUGCAUAGCUUUCCAUUAUCUUUACCAUGUACACACCACUAUCUUCAAUCUUCUUAAGCUAAAAACAAAAAACAAACUGAAAAGUCAACAGUAUUUACAUAUAAUAUAACAUCAAAACCAAGACAUUCUCAAAAAAUAUAAAAAAAAACUUAUCAAAGCUUCUAAAAACCAUAUAAAACCUUAUAAAACUAUAUAAAAACCUUAUUAAAACCUAAUAAACUCUUGAUAAACCUUAUAAAAACUCUUUAAAACCUUCUAAAUACCUUAUCUAACCUCGCAAGCCUUUUACUAAUUACAAAUAUUACCUGUGUAAAGCAGGAUUUGUGAAUGACACGGAAAGAAGAGGAAUUAAAAGGAGAGUCAUCAGUCCUCUCUACCAUUGGAAACUUCUUCUAUGCAAUAUAUGGCAUUGAUCUAGCAUACGCUUCGACCUGUUUUUGUUUCUUUUUAUCACUGAAAAAUGAUGAUCCAUUGUCCCAGAUAUGGAUUGAUCGUGAGGCCAAAUUAAUCUCAAGUGGUAUCCACAACCGUUGCUCGACACACAUUGGUGCAAAUAUGACUUUUGUGCGUUUCUCCUUAAACACCUUACUGAAGCAUUCAUCAUCAAAGUCGAAGCCAUCUUUGUCGUCUAGGAAUAUAUCGUAGGAAUCAUCAAUGGCCUCAAUGAAUUUUGAAUCCACUAAUGUCACAUCUUUGNNNNNNNNNNNNNNNNNNNNNNNNNNNNNNNNNNNNNNNNNNNNNNNNNNNNNNNNNNNNNNNNNNNNNNNNNNNNNNNNNNNNNNNNNNNNNNNNNNNNCAAUAUGCUAAACUCAACAAAAACAAAAUCAAAGUCAGAUCAACAACAUUAGAGAAAGGGCUAAAAUUAUUGUUAGUUUUUAUAAGGCUUUUAUACGGUUUUUAUAAAGUUAGGUUCUCACAAAUUUACAUAUAAGUCUUUUAAACGGUUUUUAUAAUGUUCUCAAAAAAGUAAACUGAAAAGUCAAUUCUAAAACUUAUAAAAGCCUUAUAAAAAACUUAUAAAACAAAUUAAAACUACUGUUAGAAAACUUACAGCUGCUUUUAUUGAUUUUCCUGGCGUCUCAAGUGUUGUGAACCACUUGGCAUCAACUUUGUUACCUAGAAUUGUUAGAGGCCUAAAAACGAACACAACAUAUUUACAGCUUUUAAAACACUUAUAAACAACUAAACGGAAUUCCAUUUCUUAUUUUGUCAAAUAAAACUGAAACUUACUUUGUUUUCCUUGAACUCUUCCAUUUAGCCAAUAGUUCUACCCGUGGUGUAUCAAUUUUUUCAAAGGGAUGAACAAUUGGGUGCCUUUUCUUCUCAGCCGUGUAAGGCCACUGAGUGUGAAUUGAUGGAGCAUGGUUUCGUUCACUUUUCCUUUUUACUUCACCAACAUUAUCAGCUUUAUUCUUCUUUCUUCGUGGCUGAACAAAAUAAAGUAAAAAUCCAGCAUUUUAUCGAUUUUCAAUUGUAAUAACUAUUGUAAUAUUUUUAAUUGCAAACUAACCAUAGCUUUUGUUGUAUCAUCAACAUCUUGAUUGUCACUUGUUUUACGCUUCUUUUGCUGCAAUGAACCAAACGAACACAUUUUGUAAACCAUUUAAUCCAAGUAUGGAACAUUUUUUAUAAAACCUGAUAAACUCUUGAUAAAAACCAUAUAAAAACCUGAUAAACUCUUGGUAAACAUUAUAAAAUCUCCUUUAGGCCUUAUAAAAACCUUAUAUUCACAGUUUAAUAAGCAUAUAAAGACCUUAUAAAAUAUUUAAAAAUCUGAUACUAACCUCUUUUCUUUCAGAAACAUUUUCUUCAGCAUUGUCUCAUUCUUUACACUUUUUCUGUAGAUCAAAACAAAUUAAUCAUGCUUAGUGUAACUUCUUUAAAAAUCAUUAAUCUCAUAACAUCCUUAUAAAGAAUAGAACACUAACCUGCUUUUUCUCUCUAACAACUUUCUUUUUACUGCUUCCUGCUUUCUGUUGACUGUUUUUCUUAUCCUUUCCGCUACCUUGACUUUCUUGAGAAAAGAGAUUGAACUUUGGUGUAGAAUGACUUGGAGUAUUGGAUUUAUCCUUCAAACAUAAUCACUCUAAAAUUUUACAAAAAGGCUUUUAAAAGGAAUUUAGUAUACUUAUAAAAAACUAUAUCAUCAUACCCUUGGUGUUCCUUCUUCUGCAUUAUCAUAAUUGCCACUCUUUUCAGUAUUUUCAUCGUCGCCGUCAUAACUUCCAUCUUGGGUGUUUGCUUGACGAAAUGAAUCUUCAAAAGUGCUAUUCACAUUUUCAUCAAAAACCCUAUCUUCUUUCCCAGUAUCUUCAUGAGGAUUACUUUGUCCAGCGUGCUACACAAAAAUAAAGAACCAGGCAAAGUAUCCCAAAUUUUCAAAAACCCUAUUAAAAAUUAUAUAAAACCCUUAUAAGCCUUUUAAAAACCAUAUAAAACCUUUAAAAAAUAUAUACUAACCUCUUCACUUUUAUCUUUGUCUCCUUCAAGCUCGGACUGCGAUAAGAAAAGUAAGAAAUUAUCAUAGGAAACAACCCAAACUUUUUAUUAAUUAAAAUUUACAAAUAUUUUACCUCGUUAUAUGUCCCCACGUUGUUUCUGACUUUUAGAACCACUUCAAGUAUUUCUAAUCUUCUGUUGAAGUCCGCAACUAGUUUAAGGAUCUUGUCCAGUUUGGCAGAAUCUGACAAUUGCUGCCCCAACUCUGCCUCCGCAGAAAUGUAUUCAACAAUUUUGUUCCUCCAAUCAAUCUCCUUUAAUCUGUAGCCUCUCAUCACCAAGUGUACGAUAUCUUCAAACUCUUUGUCGUCUACAUGAGUUUCUUCUACUAGGUGUUUGUAUUCCUCUGGAUCUCCAAUAAUAGAUUUGACCUCAAUCUAGAAAAAUAAAUAACAAAGGUUUUAAAAGCUUUUUAAAAUGGAUAUACAAUGAUUGUAAAUCCUUAUAAAACCCUUAUAAAAUCCUUAUAAAAUCCUUAUAAAACCCUUAUAAAAUCCUUACAAUGGUUGUAAACGCUUAUAAAAUCCUUAUAAAUCCCUUAUAAAACCCUAAAUAACUCUAUGAUACUUUUAAAAACCAUAUAAAACCUUAUACAAUUAAUGCUCAUCACCAAAUAAAAAGUGUUAUAAAAGGAAUGAAAACUUACACAAUCCGAUGAUUGAAUGGCAUCCACGAUUUGAUCUAAUCUUGGAGUUAACGAAGAUUCCCAGUUAGAGUAUAGAGGAUAAACACACUUUGACGUGUCGUUGCAUACAGCAAACGACGCUCCAAAAAGUGGUACAGCGCUGAAUGACCAGAUCAAUAAAGCCAAAGGAAAACCUUUGACUUCAUAUUGGCCUCUUGCCCAUGUAUUGGUAUCCAUCCUCUUGAUACUUGUAGACAAGACGUUGUAGGCUUCUUUUCCCCAUGCCAAAGAUGUAUACGCCUCAAAAUCGGAUGCAUGGUGAAGUCUUGAACUUGGGAUUUUCUCUAAUGAAUGAGGCGUCAUCAAGAAUGCUUCUGUAAGGAUGACAGCUGCAAGGCAAAGCUUUUCAUCCUCUUCCAUCGGCGCCUCUGUUUCCUCUGUUUUCUCCAAAUCAGUUAUAUCCUUUGGUUCAGAAAACAAGUAAUUCUCCAAAUUACUCAAGGUCAAAUCUUUUCGCGACGUCCAACUGUAGGGUUUCUUAGCAGGUUUUUUCCCCUUCCUACUUUGAUCUGUAUCAAGCUUUUCACAAUGAAUACCUGUGAUUUAUUAAACAAUGAGGUUAGUAUUUUCAAUCUACUCAUAAAUUUCGUAUAUUUCACAUUCAAAUGAUAUGUACAUACCUUAUUAAAACCUUAUAAAACCUUAUAAAAACCUUAUAAACAAGUUUUCAAAUAAUGUUUAUUUGACAUUCAAAUGAUAUGUACAUACCUUAUAAAAACCUUAUAAAAACCUUAUAAAAACCUUAUAAAAACCUUAUAAGAACCUUAUAAAAACCUUAUAAAAACUUUAUAAACAAGUUUUCAAAUAAUUUGUUUAUUUCACAUUCAAAUGAUAUGUACAUACCUUAUAAAAACCUUAUAAAAAUCUUAUAUAAACCUUAUAAGAACCUUAUAAAACCUUAUAAAAACCUUAUAAAAUACUUAUAAACAAGUUUUCAAAGAAUUCGUUUAUUUUCACAUUCAAAUGAUAUGUAUAUACCUUAUAAAAACCUUAUAAAAACCUUAUAAAAACUUUUUAUAACUGGCAGAAAUUAAACAAAGAUGUAAAAUAUAUAUGGAAUACCUGUUGAGAGAAAAAAAUUCUCUCAUUGAGAAACGUGUUGGUUGUGAAGCGAUUCUGAACCACAAGUUGUUUCCUUUAGUCUUCAGCCUCCUCAUCAUAAUGUAGUGANNNNNNNNNNNNNNNNNNNNNNNNNNNNNNNNNNNNNNNNNNNNNNNNNNNNNNNNNNNNNNNNNNNNNNNNNNNNNNNNNNNNNNNNNNNNNNNNNNNNUGAUGAUGUGUCCGAGGAAAGAAUCCUCAAGCUGCUUGAACGAUUCAUCGCUCAAAACAGCUUUAACUUUCCAAAUUAGUUUAAAAUCCGUAUGUUGUAUUAUUGAUGCUUGAGAGAAUGGUUCACUUCCAUCUUCAUAUAUACCGUUAGGUAAUAGAAGAUAAUCAACCGGUUCACUACUCUCCAUCUGUUUAUUAACAUCAAAAACCAAAAUAUUUUAACCUAAAUGUUUAAAAACCUUUUAAAAUGCUUAUGAGACUACAACUUUUGAUGCACAAACCAUUUUUUUACAAAGUUUUUAUGAUUUUCAUUUUCUAUAAGGUUUUCAAAAUUGAUUAAAGCCAUCCCUGAACAAUUGUAGUAAAUAUAUGUUUAAUCUCAAUCGAUCUCCAAUUAAUCUCAAUCGAUCUCCAACAAUUAAUCUCAAUCGAUCUCCAACAGUUAAUCUCAAUCGAUCUCCAACAAUUAAUCUCAAUCGAUUUCCAACAAUUAAUCUCAAUCGAUCUCCAACAAUUAAUUUCAAUCGAUCUCCAACAAUUAAUCUCAAUCGAUCUAAAAAAGAACCCUAAAUUGGCAAACCCUAAACAAUUAACAAGUAAGAGAUAACAUAGGGCACUUACACGGCCAAGAGAGAGAAGACACGGCGAGGCGAUUUUGUGUGACGACGAGGAGUCCUCAACCGAUGACGACGCCGAUGAGGAGUGUGAGACAGAGAGGAGAGGAGUCCUCGAGAAACCAGAAUCGAGAGAGAGAGAGAGGAGUCUGAGGCGGACAGAGACAAGAUUCUCGCCGGAGACAGAGAGGAGAUGGAAUCGGAGUUGUGAUAGAGAGGAGAAGCAGGAUUCUCGCCGGAGUCCAGCCGUCGAGAAAGAGAUCGUUUUCGUGAGAGAGAGAAUUGUGAACCAAAGAUUUUUUAGGUUUAACAUAAACCAGGGCAAAAUCGUCUUUUGGCAUUAAAACAGGGGUAGUUUUAAAAAUGCUCCCCUUAUAGGGGUAUUUUUAAAAGGGAAUACCCAAAAGGGGUAUUUUUAGAAUUGUCCCAAGUUUAUAAGGAUGUUUAAAGGGUUUACAAGGGUUUUUAAAAAUUUACAACGAUUUUUAAAAGAACUUUAUAAGCGAUUUACAAGUGUUAAUAAAAGUUUUAAAAAGAUUUACCACGGUUAUAAGAGUUUUUAAAGGGAUUUACAAGUGUUUAUAAAAGUUAUAAAAGUCUUUACAAAUGUUUUAAAAGGUUUACUAGAGUUUUUAAAAGUUUUAGAUGACUUUUUAAAAGAUUUACAAGGGAUUUUAAGGAUAUUCAAAGGUUUUAAAAAUCAUUACAAAGUUUUUAAAAUAUUUUUUAAGGUAUUGCGGAAAAUUUUGGCGGGAAAUGUUUUGUCGGAAAUUUUUUGCGGACAAUUUUUUGGGGACAAUUUAUCGGAAAAUUUUUUUUUUUUGUUGGAAGGAAUAUUUCUUUUUUCAUCAUGAUUUCCACUAAAGGAGUGUAAUUUAGUUAUUUUAUACCUAGAUAGGGUAUUUUUGAAAAUGGACACCAAGAGAGGGUAUUUGUAAAAAAAUGUAACCCAAAAAGGUUAUUUUAGCAAAUCCCCCUUUUUCCAAAUAAGCUAAAUAUUUUACUUAAAUUUUUAAUAAUUUAGGCUUAGAAUAUAUAAUUAUAACCUAUACAAAUGGUCUCAUGAAAAAAAAAAACAUAUAAAAGCAUAACUUUUAAUUUGAUUUUGGUCCAUCCAUUCAACCGAAGAAAUGAAGAGAUAACAAAUUUGUUGCACGAUAUCUGAAGAGCGAUUCUAAGUAAAAGUGAUGAUGGUUUUGAUUGUACUUCUCUUGUUAACCGGUUAACUAACAGCGUUUCGGCAUAUGUUGAUGUUGCCUAAUUUCAUAUAGUUUAACUUAGAAUUUGAAUUUUUAAUGAGUUUAGAUUGAAAUUUACCAAGUAGCAUAAUUUAGGUAUUGAAAAACCGUCAAUAAGUUAGUCGAGGUUCAUUUUGGCCAUUUUUCCAUCACUGCACAAUGAACGUUAACGUCCAAAUUGAUAUUAUUGACUUGACUUCCAAAGCACAAUAACUAUUUACUAACAGAAUGUUCCAACGUAUAUAACCCCUAAAAUGUGCCAAAAUAAGCAACUCGAACCCACUGGUAGGUUAGGCCUAUACUUAGCCGAAGCCUACAUGCUUUAAUUAAGACUUUAAUUAGUUGUUUUCUUAUUUAUUUAUUUUUUUUUCAACAAUAUUAAGAUUAACUCAAAAGAGCCAAUUGGGGGAACAAGUGUCAACAAACUUGACAAAAUGCAGGAGGGCACGAACUUUUCGUGCCAGAGAGUUCGCUUUUACAUUUUGAUUACAAGAUAUAAGAGAAAGAGAAAAAGUUGAGAAUUCUUCCCUAUCACUCCUAAUGUCGUCUAGGUAAACAGAGAAAGCUGGCCAUUCAGUAGGAGAAGACACCAUCUUCACCAGGUCGGAACAGUCCGUGAGAAAAAUCACAUCUCUGAAGUUGUGUCCUAUCAUGCAGCGCAUUGCCCAAACUAGAGCUUCGACUUCCGCAUGUAGAGGAGAGAGACUGCGGCGAGGAUUCGUUGCUCCCAUCCAUGUUGCUGAGUCUGGAGCAUGCUGGCAAUACCAUCCUAAUCCUACCGACAAGUCAAUUUCCUUCCAAGAUCCAUCAACAAAACAUCUAUACCCUGACGAGGUAUGAGGUAGAGAAACCGAGCGAAACCGAGGCGCGGAAGCCACUGGUAAGGUCGCUUCUGGAGCCUCUGAUUCCUCUAUCUGCGCUGCAUCCCAUGAUCCCGCCUUAGUCUGAGCAAUCCUCACUACCUCCAUCGGAUUUUCAUCCUUAUUAUCAAAAACCUUGGCAUUCCGUGCCUCCCAAUAUAUACCAUAAUAACCCAGGAAUAAAUCUAGCUUGAUCAUCCUUCAGGGAUAAUCGAAGGAUAUAAUCCAUAUUCGCAUACACCAACGUUGUCGGGAAAGAGAGAAGGCCCACUGGAAUAUUCCCCAACGCCCAUACUUGACGCGUCGGAGGGCAUUCAAAAAGAACAUGAUUAACCGUCUCAUCCUGCGCAGUGCAACGUGCACAUCUAGUAUCGCAGUUGAUACCCCGAUGAAAUAAAUUAGCCGUUACUGAAAUGUAGCCAGUCAGGACUUGCCACAUAAAUUCUCCAUACUUUUAUCCCUAUAAAAGAAAAAGAAAAAAAAAAAUUUUGAAUACUCAAGUUAAUAAGCAUCACUCAAGUUUUAUCAUCAACUCAUAAGUCUCUUCUUCACCAAUAUACUAUACACUAGUAUCUUCCAAAACACAAUGACCCACUGCACUUUUCAAUGGUUUCAUAGUUUUACAAAGCAAACAGCCAAAACAAGUAACUCGAACCCACUGCAGCGUUAGGACUUCAUUAUCAAAGGAGACGACCUCAAGUCAAUUAUAAAUAAAAGUUACCAAAUACAAUGAAUAUGCGACUCCUUCCGUCUAAUGUUUUAUAAUUUUGUGUUUGUUUUGCAAAAUUACUUUAAAGAAUAAAUGAUAUACUUAAAUCUAGAACAAAAUAUAAUUUGAAGUUGGGAGAAUCGUAAGAAGUAGCAAAAAAUUACUAAACACCAAUUUGAAUAUAAUUAGAAUUUAAUAUUAAUUAAUUAUUUUAAAAUCUUAAGCGAAUAAUACCAACAAAAAAAAAGAAUAAACAUGAUUCAUACAUAUCGUAUCUAAUAACACUAAAUUUUAAUGCAUAAUUUAUAUAUAUAAAAAGAACUGAAUAAUUUGGAUUUAGCAUAAAUAUAAAUUAAAAUUACAUGAUUAUACAAUAUAACCCUAAACAUCAUUACUUAAUCUAUUUUUUUGUUCCGUGUAACAUAACCCAAGCCAAUUGUGGGAAAUUAAAAACCAUAGUUAAUGAUCAUCACUUGAAUAUUUCUUUGUUAGUGUAUUUAUUAAAUAGUUGCAGAAGCUAAACAUAUUGUGAGUAAAUUUGAGAUUUAUUGCAUGAUUGAACACACGAUUAUCACUCACACACAAGUCCAAUACACAAUGACUUGGAAAUUACUCAACAGAAUGUUCAACGUAGGCACUUUUCUAGUGACUGGUUUCGUAAUUUCUUAAAGCAAACAGCCAAAAGACGAUUUUGCCCUGGGUUAGGCCUUCAUUAUCAAAGAGACGACCCCAACUCAAUCACUAAGCCUUCAUGAAGUCUAUUAAAGAGCCACAGAACUUGGAUAGCUUUGUCUAUCACCAAGAGAGAAAGAUAAUAGUGAGUGAGAUAGUAAGUGAGAAUGGCUUUUGCUGAGAAGAAUCCUUCUUAUAAUCUUCUUCGUUUCCUUUUGUUCAUAUCCAUAACUUUGAGCUGUUCUAUCACAGCUUCUGCGACUAUCUCAGAAGCAAAUGCUCUUCUCAAAUGGAAAUCCACUUUCACCAACCAGAGACCCUCAUCAAAGCUGUCUUCAUGGGUCAAUGAUGCAAACACCAAUACUAGCUUUCCAUGCACCACUUGGUAUGGUGUUUCCUGCAACUCACGAGGGAGUAUUGAAAAGUUAAAUCUCACUGACANNNNNNNNNNNNNNNNNNNNNNNNNNNNNNNNNNNNNNNNNNNNNNNNNNNNNNNNNNNNNNNNNNNNNNNNNNNNNNNNNNNNNNNNNNNNNNNNNNNNCUUACAUUGAUCUUAGCAUAAACCGUUUCUCUGGAACCAUCCCUCCUCAAUUCGGAAACAUCUCAAAACUCAUCUACUUUGACCUUUCCACAAACUACUUAACCGGGGAAAUCCCACCUGAGCUUGGCAAUUUGCGAAACCUAGAAACCCUUUAUCUUUAUAGAAACAAGUUAAACGGAUCGAUUCCAUUGGAGAUCGGUCUCUUAACCUCAGUUCGGGAUAUCGCCUUGUCUAACAAUUCCCUAUCUGGACCAAUACCCUCUUCCAUUGGAAAUCUAACCAACUUGGUAACCCUGAAACUCUUUCUCAAUUCUUUCUCGGGUCCACUACCUUCCGAGAUUGGGAACUUACCCAACCUUGGUAAUCUAAUCCUUAAUGAAAACAAUCUCUCUGGACCAUUACCCUCUUCCAUUGGAAAUCUAACCAACUUGGAACAACUGUACCUCUUUAACAAUUCUUUAUCGGGUCCACUUCCUUUCGAGAUUGGAAACUUACCCAACCUUGUUGAGCUAGACCUUAGUGGAAACAACCUUUCUGGACCAAUACCCUCUUCCAUUGGAAAUCUAACCAACUUGGUACAAUUGUACCUUUAUACCAAUUCUUUCUCGGGUCCACUUCCUUUCGAGAUUGGAAACUUACCCAAACUUGUUUACUUACAGCUUUGUAUAAACAACCUAUCUGGACCAGUGCCCUCUUCCAUUGGAAAUUUAACCAAGUUGGUUGAGCUAUACCUUAAUACAAAUAACUUGUUUGGACCAAUACCCUCUUCCAUUGGAAAUCUAACCAACUUGGUCAAGUUGUACCUCUUUAAAAAUUCUUUCUCGGGUCCACUUCCUUUUGAGAUUGGAAACUUACUCAACCUUGUUGAGCUAGACCUUAGUGAAAACAACCUUUCAGGACCAAUACCCUCUUCCAUUGGAAAUUUAAGAAACUUGGUAUGGCUCUCCCUCAGUACCAAUUCUUUCUCUGGUCAGAUUCCACUGGGAGUAUCAAACUCUUCAAAGCUAACUAUCUUGCAACUCAGCGAAAAUAACUUCACUGGUUUCUUGCCUGAAAACAUUUGCAAAGGUGGUAAGCUUCAGAAGAUCUCAUUAAUUGGCAAUCAUCUAGAAGGUUCCAUCCCAAAAAGCUUGAGAGAUUGCAACAGCUUGAUGAGAGCAAGAUUUUCGGGGAACCGAUUUAUUGGAGAUAUUUCUGAAUCUUUUGGGGUUUACCCACAUCUUGAUUUCAUUGAUCUCAGCCACAACAAAUUCCACGGUGAGAUUUCAAGCAAUUGGGAGAAGAGUCGAAAACUAGGUGCCUUGAUCAUGUCCAACAAUAACAUCAGCGGCUCUAUCCCACCAGAGAUUUGGAACAUGACACAACUAGUUGAGUUAGAUCUGUCUACCAACAACCUCACAGGUGAGCUUCCAGAAGCAAUUCAGAAUCUGAAAGGUUUGUCGAAGCUACUUCUCAAUGGGAAUAAGUUAUCUGGAAGAAUUCCUAUGGGUUUAAGUUUCUUAACUAAGCUCGAGUCUCUAGACUUAUCUUCAAACAGAUUCGAUGCUCAGAUCCCACAAACCUUUGACAACUUCACUAACCUCCACGAAAUGAAUCUGAGUAGAAACAAGUUUGAUGGACGUAUUCCCAGACUAACAAAGUUGGCUCAGCUAACCCAUCUUGAUCUCAGCCACAACCAGCUCGACGGAGAAAUCCCAUCACAACUUAGCUCUUUGCAGAGCCUCGAUAAGCUCGACCUCUCACACAACAAUCUUUUGGGUCUCAUUCCAACAAGUUUUGAGGGCAUGAAAGCGUUGACAUACAUAGAUAUAUCAAACAAUAAACUCGAGGGUCCGCUUCCAGAUAAUGCAGCAUUUCGAAAUGCAACAGCAGAUUCUUUGGAGGGAAACAAAGGCUUAUGCAGUAAUAUCCCAAGACAAAGGUUGAAAUCAUGCCAGAAGAAUGGAUUCAUGAAAUCAAAGAAGGAUGGCAGCCUUGUUGGGUGGAUACUAGUGCCAAUCCUAGGAGCACUCGUCAUUCUCUCUAUAUGCGCUGGGACAUUUAACUACUACCUUCGCAAACAAAAACAAAAAAAUGGAAACAACAACUCAGAUGCUGAAACUGGAGAGAGCUUGUCUAUAUUUUGCUAUGAUGGCAAAUUCAAAUACCAAGAUAUCAUAAACUCAACCGAAGAAUUUGAUCCUAAAUAUCUUAUCGGAAUGGGAGGAUACGGCAAAGUCUACAAAGCAAACCUCCCAAGCGCGAUUGUAGCUGUCAAGAAACUAAACCUUACAAUGGAGGAAGAGAUAUCAAAGCCGGUGGUGAAGCAAGAGUUCCUAAACGAAGUAAGAGCCUUAACAGAGAUCCGUCAUCGCAACGUGGUGAAGCUCUUCGGCUUCUGCUCUCACCGCCGCCACACUUUCCUGAUCUACGAGUACAUGGAAAAAGGAAGUUUAAACAAAUUGUUAGCUGACGACAAAGAAGCGAAACGACUCAAUUGGACCAAAAGGAUCAAUAUAGUGAAAGGUGUGGCGUAUGCGUUAUCGUAUAUGCACCAUGACAGAUCAACUCCGAUCGUCCACCGUGAUAUUAGCAGCGGCAACAUCCUUCUUGAUAAUGAUUAUAAACCUAAGAUCUCCGAUUUUGGCACAGCGAAGCUUCUCAAGAUGGAUUCCUCAAAUUGGUCCGCCGUCGCCGGAACCUAUGGCUAUGUCGCUCCAGG
rnacentral:lncRNA from 1 species